rnacentral:lncRNA from 1 species
UCCGAUCUCAAAAUGUAAAUUUUGGAAAUUUCAUCUAAUUCAUUUUAUUGCAUUGCUGCUGAGUGAAAUCUUCAUUCAAGAAAUAAAAUUUUCAAGAUAAUUAAUUUUUAUUAAGUAGUCACUACACUAAAAAUCUAUAAAUUCAAUAGCCACCAAUAACUCAAACAAUGUCUACUACAAAUACAUAGGGCACUCUCUGUUUCCUUUUUCAAUUCAAAAUCUUAGAAAGAUUUCACAAUUGAAUAAAUCAGUGCAUUAAUUCUAAUUAUUAUGCUACUUCUUUUUGUUAUUAUUAUUUAGCUUAAUGUCAACCAGAGUUUCAUCCUACUCAUGUGAACAAAGUUUGAACCUUGAAUCUAUUGUUUUUAACAGAAAGGAUUUUAUAAUUUCAAACAGAUGAUACCUACAAAAGUUACAAUGCUACUUUGAUAUGGUACAGUUACAAAAUUUUAUAAAACUUACAAAAAUACUAAAAUGUUCAUAUACGGUACAAUCUCUAUAAAAUGAUAUUGUUGGAACUAGGAAAAUUUUUUAUCCUGAUGAUGGUUAUUUAUUAAUUAAUGAAGAAUUUGUUAAUUUAUUGGUAAAUUAAUGAAUAUUUAUUAAUUUAAGACGAGUAUUACUUUUUAAUUACUUGUGUUAUUUAGGCAUGUGUAGUAUUCUUUUCACAAAUAUUCGUGCAUGAAUUUCAAAAGUUAUCAUAUACAUACAAAAAAUUCUAAUAAAUGUAAUGAACAUAUACAUAGAAGCACAAAAUAAUGUAAGUACAUUGUACAUAGUUUCAAAUUUAGUACCCUCUGAAGAUAAAGUGUUUCAGAUGCUUAGAGUACAUAGAUUAAAAAGUCUAUAAGUACAUUGGUCAUUAGUGUCAAAUUAUUUUACGCAUAUUUUUAGAAAAGAGUUUAAUUAAAAAAAUUAUAGUUUUUAAGAAAACAAUCCUAAUUAAAUGUAAUGAAUUUUAUAUGUUAUUUAUUAUUGAUAUUUCUUGUAAUUAACUAAUUAUUAAUUUAUAUUUUUAUUGGACCCUAAAGGAUUCAUGUAAAAAAAAAUUUAUUUUAUGCAUUUAUCAAAAUUGUUAAUUUAGUGCAAUGACCAAGUCAGGACCACAAGAUUUUAUUAUUUAAAAAAAUUAUUAAUAAUUUUUAGACUUUUCAUAAGUUUUAAAUUUAUUAAUUUUUAAUUUUUAGUACAUCAAUUUAUUGAAUAUUUAUUCAUCGAUGUCUUACAGAAGAUUUAAAUAAUUUGUGAUAAAGUAAACGAGUUUUCAUUAGUGGUGUCAAAUUUCUGAACCUCUAUUUUUGAUAAAAGCAGCACAGCCGUUAAUAAAAAAUGAAAACGUUUGCAUUCAUUUAGAUUGCAUGAGUGGGCAAACUCAUAGUUGAGUGAUUACAUGUUUGCUCUCGUAGGAUGGCCUUCAGGAGUGGCUUUAGGUAUAGGCGAACAAGACCAUCGCCUAAGGCCUCAUAUUUUAAGAAGGUCUCAUUUUUUGAAUAUUUCUUUAAUAAUUCUCUAAUUAAUAAAAUAUUUUUAAUACGCAUUUCAAGAAAUCAAAAAGUUUAUUAGAUAUCUCUCUAUUCUUAAUUAUUCUAUAAUGAAGAAUUAUUUUUUUUAUAAAAAAUCUAUAUUUGGGAACCUUAAUUUUAAAGAAAUAUAAUUAAUAAUAUUCUUUAAGCUUCAUUCCUUUCAAUUAUUCAAUAUCAGCAUAUUUGACUUUUAAUUUUUUUUAAUUUCUAUUAAAAAUCUCAUAAUGUCAAGAAUUAGUAAAUGAAAAAAAUUUCUUGUUCUCUUCUCUACAAAUAAAAUUAUUAUAUUAAUUGGUUCAUUUAAAAUAAUUAGUUUCUUAAAAUAUAAAGUCCAUUUUUAUUUUUGAACAUCAACUUAUCAUUUUAAAAUUUGUAUAUUCUAUCAUUCUAAAUAUUCUAUUUGAAAAUAAAAUUGUUUUUAUUUAUUUGUUUGUUUGUUUUUUAACGGUUUUAAUGGAAUAAAAAAAUCAAUCUUCUUGACUAUUUUUUAGGUUUUAUUUUUUUUAUUAUUGUUGAAAUUCAAGAAUUAAAGAUGGAAUAAAUUUUGAUCCUUUUUAUAUGUCUUUGAGUAUUAAAAUUAAAAAAUAAUAGAGGUCUCAUAAAAAAAUUUCGCCUAAGGCCCCUCAAACUCUAAAGCCGGCCCUGAUGGCCUUGGCUACCCAAGUUAUUAAAAGGAAUUGAAAAUUUACCCAUUUUGUAAAUUUAUGUUUAGCCUCCUUAUUUUUCUAAAGGGAGAUUGAAAGUUUGUAUCCUAUUGAAAUGAAUAUAUAUCACAUACCUUCUACUAUUUUUAUAAUAUUUAAUAACCCUGUUGGCAUAAAAAUUUAAAAAAAAAGAAGAGAAGUAAAUAAGUCAUUUGCUCGAUAUUUGGUAUUGGAAAUAUAAAAUUAUUAGAAGAAAAAUAUUAAAAGAAAUAAAGUACAAGAAAAAUAUCUUGUGAUAAAUUUUUUAUUCAUAUCAAAAUCUAGGAAAUGUACUUAAUUUUUUUUUAUAUAUUUUAUUUUAUUUAUAAUAAAUAAAAAUAAAAGUGUAAUAGAAAAUAAGAGUAAUAUUAUAAAAUAAUGGUGCCAGGUGAUUAUUAGAUAUUAUGAAAAUAAUAAGGGUAUAAGUAAUAUAUACUCAUUUCAAUAGGGAGGAAACUUACCAUCACCCUUUUUCUAGGCAAUUUCAUCCGUAUAGCAUCUAUGUAUGGUUUAUUUAUCAUAGUCCCGUUGUUGGCUUCUUCAAUUUUAUAUUCAUAUUAUACAUUUUCUGAAUGGAGUUGACUAUCACAAUAAUUUGAUCUUCUUCGUACUUUGAAAUGAAAAUGUUGCCACUAAUGAGGAAAAUGAUGAACCAAAAUACCAACAUGAGAAAAAAUUUUAUUAUUCGUAAACGUGCAACGUUCGUGCAACUUUUAUUAUUACAACUUAAUUUAUUCACUUAUUAAAGCAUGCGUACAACCCUAAAACGAAACAAACUUUAUUUUUAACUGCAAGCAUUUGCGGAGCUCUCAGCAGCUCGAUCUUCAAACCUUUUUAAACACAACUUUUAACGGAACAUCACUCAAAGCCAGACGCCGCACCCCACCAUUAAUAAAAAUGCCAACAUCUCUGCACAAACCUCUGCAGAAAUUACAAACCGAAGGACAGAAAACAAGCUUGUAAUCGCCAUAAAACUUCUCAAUCUUAAACCAAUUUCUCAUGGUUCUGGGGCCGGGAUUGCCUUCAACUCCCCCAGUGGUCACAAGCCACUGCCCUAAUGCCGCAUCAAAAUUGUCAAGCUUCCACACUGUGGACUGCGCACAACUUGUUGCAGCGUCAAAUUUGAUGUUAAAGUCAGUGGACUCACGAACAACGCCCUUUUUAGGGUUAACGGGCGAAAAUGUUACCGGCAAACCAUUUCUAAAUGAGUGCUGCUCUUGAACAACAUCUAGGGGACAUGUCUUAUUGUUGCUUCUGCCAGCAAGUGUAAGCCCGCCGCCUUGGCCCUUUGUAACGGGCAAGAUGUAGUACUUGCUGCCAGCUCGGAGCUUCUUACCGGCGACGUCCAGCACCGGAUCAGGUGAAGCAUUGCCCCUGACAGGCAAUGGCGUUGCAAUGAAGGCAAAGAGAAGAAUCAGCGAGGUUAAGACUAGUGUGCUUCUCAUUGUUAUAUCGUUAUAUUUUUUGUUCUUAUCUUUUGUUGAUGCGUGUAAACAGCCCUUAUGAGGCCAAAUUUAUAGAGUUAGGCUAGUAUAGUUAAUUAACGGACAGCAAGUUGGUUUGAUUCGCCUAAUGUCCGAUUCGAGAGGCCAAUGGUCGCCCACAAGACAAGAGCGGAUUAUGACAUUCUGCUUUGUGAACUGUAAUUAUUAUUUUUUUUCCCGCCUAAACAGCCUGAUCGGAAGAUUUAAUACAAAUUCAACAAUAGAAAGCGUAGUUUAGUAAGAAAGUCAAAGAUUUAGUUUAGAAUUAUAAGUCAAUAAUCUUACCUUUUCCCUUACACUAAAUUUAAUCGAAUUUAGAUCUGAUUCCUCUGUCUUUGUAAAUGGUUUUGUAAUUUUGUUUAAAUCGCAUAGUAUAUAUGUUUAAUUUUAAGGACAUGUUUAUUUUCUUUUUGUGCUGAAGUUAGUCUCGUCAAGCUAGGUGUUUAUCGAAAAAUUAAAUUAGCAAAGAAAUGAUAAAGCAUAUGUUUAGGGAGGCACAACUUGGCCCCUCUUCUUGAAUAUAAAAAUUGCACCAAGAAUUUGAAAACAAGAAAUGAUGUAGAAAGACAUUUAGAUGAUGAUAUCAAAACAUGUUACUAGCAGAUCUAUUGGCUAAGCUCAUAUGGAGAUGCUUGUUAGUAUUAAAUUAUGUGAAAUUAUGAGUUGUAUACCCUAAAUUUUUCAUGUUAUAAAAAAUAUUAUGUAAUUUUGAAUUUCUUUGAUUUUCCACUCUAAGUUUGUAAAUUAUAACCGUAUACAAACUCAAGGUGGAAAAUCAAAUAAAUUCAAAUUUUUAUUGUAUUUUUUUAUAACAUGGUGAACUUAAGGUAUAUAGCUUAUAAUUUUUCUAAGUUUUAUUUUAUUAUUUACAGUGAAAAGUCAAAAAUGCCUUUGAAUUCAAGGGUAAAAUUAUCUUUUCACUUAGAUUCUUUUGAAUAUUAUAAUAGUGUUAACAUUUUGGUGGGCGGUAAUACAAUUUACAAGCUUAGGGUGAAAAUUCAAAUAAAUUCAAAAUUUUGUAUUAUUUUUUAUAGUAAGGUAAACUUAGUAUAUAUAGUAAAUAAUUUUCCUUUAUUUAUUAAUGUUUAGGCCCUUUUUUUAGCCCAAACGGACUACAAUAUUAAUGAAUUUGUCAUUAAAAGGGAUUGGAGUAGGGAUAGCGAAUUGAUCCAUCCAAGUUGGAUAUCCAUAUAUCCAAUCUAAUUGGGUUAGAUAAUAUCUAUCCGAUGCGUCUUGGAUAUGGAUAUGAUUUUUUUUAAGAGUGAUACUAUCAUGUAUGUCAAUGGGGCGGGUUCGGGUGGGGAUCAUGAUCCCCGAACCCGAAACCGAUUUAGAAGCAAUCCCCCGAACCCGCCCCAUACCCGAAAAAUUGUAAUGGGGAUUGUUUGGGUACAUCCCCGAAAAUCCCCGAAUUGAGCGAGGAUUAAAACGGGGACCCGAUCCCCAUUUUUUAAAUAAUAAUUUCUAAAUAUUUCAGUUUUCCUUUUUUCUUAAAUAAUAAUAAUUCUAACAACCUCCAUAUUUAGAAAUAAAAUUACAAAUAAUCAAAUUUCAUAUUAGAAAUAAAAUUACAAGUGAUCAAAUUUUAACAACCUCCACAUAAAUAAAAACAUAAUAAUUUUAAGCCUUCAACAUAAUUACAAAUGAUUAAAUUUUAUACGACAAAUCAAAAUAAUUUUAAGUCUUCAACAUAAACUUGUAGCCAUCACCAUUGAUACACAUUCUAAGAUUCUUCAUAAACCUAUAACAACAUAAACAAAAAAAAAAUUAAUAAAAACAUGUUUUAACAAUUCAACUUAAUAAAUUCUUGACAAGAUAAUAUAAACUAAAACUAUAUACCUCUACGGCCUCUACAUAUGUUUCAAUCUCUGGCUCCUCAUCAAGAAUCUUGGCAUAUGCUGGAGAGGUUGAUGCCACAACUACUUAAAAAAUAUAAAUAUAAAUAUCAAGUUAAUUAUUAGUUAAUUUAAAUAAAUAAAAAUACAAAAAUUAAAAUGCAAACCAUAUACCUCCACAAAGAGCACGUAUCCAACUUUGACUACACAUCAAAGCCUCCAAUGUGCUUGGAUGAAGUCUAUUGCGAUAUGGGCUUACAAAUCGACCACCAGUGCUGAAAGCAGAUUCAGAAGCUACAGUGGUAACUGGAAUAGCCAAAAUAUCUCUUGCAAUUUGAGACAAUAUCGGAUAGUUACCACCAUUCACCUUCCACCAAGCUAAAACAUCAAAUUCUUCCUCAACAUUAAAUGGUACUAACUUUUCACCCAAAUAAGUGUCUAGUUCAUCUUUUACUUCCUCAUUACCAACAUUAACAAAACUAGUAAACCCCAAAAUCCAUUCAGUUGAACCCUUAUAGGAACCCGAACUCGGCAUAGAAUGAGAAGUACUUAAAGAACUAGAACUAUAUCCAGGAGAACUAGCAGCUGAUGCAUAUCUAGCUUUGUACUCUUUCACUAUACUUUGACAAUCACCAUACACUAUCUGGACACGAGAAGUAGCAUCAUCCUCAUAAAUCAUGGAAAAGUAAUAUUCAACCAACCUAAUUUUGAACCUAGGAUCAAAGAUACAUGCAAUAGACAAUAUUCCACUCAUGUCAUGCCAAUACUUAUCGAACUUUUCAAUCAUUUUCUAUGCCAUGAUUCUAAAUUCAUCAUACCUAGGAGUUGAAACCCAUUCAUUCAGGCACAAUCUAAUAUCACACACAUGGCGCAGAAAUAGAUUAGAUGUUGGAUAACUAGUACCAGAAAAUAAUGUUGUACAAUCAUAAAAACAUUUCAAAUCAUUUUCUAAGGCACUAGCCAAUUGCCAAUCAUGCUCACUAGGCAAACACUUAUACUGUCCAUCAAUAUUCUUCAAUCGACAAAAAACGUUCUUAUAAUGUAAUGCAGAGCAUAUCAUGAGAUAAGUAGAAUUCCACCUAGUUGGACAGUCUUGUACUAGUUUUCUACCAGAAGUAAUGCCUAAUUUACGUGCAUUCUCAUCAAAUGUCGAUUUCCUUUUAGUUGAUCCUGACCAAAAAAUAACACUCUCACGAAUGUUUGCAAUUAGAUCACCAAUCACACUUAAACCAUCCUUUACAAUCAAAUUUAGAAUGUGGGCACAACAACGAACAUGAAACUUUUGUCCACCCAAAAUGAGAUCACUAAUAAUUAAAAAAAUCAUAACAGUAAGAAUUUUACCUCAAAAGUAUGCUUCGUAAUGCCCAAGCAUCGUCAAUAAAGUGUGCAGUGAUUGCCAUAUAUGCUUUUGUUUGAUUUUCUGCAGUCCACAUAUCAGUUGUAAUGGCAAUUCUACCUUGAGUUUGCUCCAAUACACUGAUAUAUUUGGCCCUUUCACACUCAUACAUGUCUAAAAUCUCCUUCUUGAUAGUAUUUCGAGACACCGGCUUCCACAAUUGAUUUAGAGAAGACAUAACAUCCCUCAGACCUUGAUGCUCUACAAUGCUCAGAGGGUACUCAUGCAUGACAAUAGCACGUGCCAUUUUUCUCCUCGUAACAUUAGGAUCAAAAUGAGUUUCUACUGCAUUCUUCCCUUUUUCACCAGCAGCUUUCUUUGCCGGUGGGAAUUCUGUGGCCUCUAUUUCCUUUUUCACUUGACAUGUCUUCAAAUGAUCGUGCAAGUGCUUUGUUCCAUCACUACUCCUUGCUACCAAUGCAUUUUUACAAUAAUUGCAGACAGCCUUAUCAAUCAAGUUAAUUUUUUUCUUCUUGAAAUGCUCCCAUACAAUUGAUCUCAACCUUCCUCUACGUCGCAACCCACCAUGAGUAACACUGGCGGCUGAUUCACCUUGAGUUUGAUUGCCUUCAUCAUCCAUUAAGUGUGGUGUGGGCAAAGAACUUGACAUAUUAAAUGUCGAACCUACAAUCAAGCCAAUAAGCAAAAUUUAAAAAUAAAAAUAAAACUAGCAUUUUACUAGAAGCAAACAAUUAAGAACUAUGCAGAUACAAAACAUUAAAUCUGAUUUUACCAUGUACUGGAUUUAAAACCAACUAGUAUUAUUCGUACACGGAUUGAGAAAGGGAAAGUUCCAGGCACGUGCACUUUGGUCAUUCACAGAAAAAAAAGAGUAGAACAAAAAUGCCUUAAAGGUUCGAAGCAACUAAUUGUAUUUUACGCUUCUACUUUUAAAUAUUUCUCCCUUUUCUUAAAACAGACAAGUCUAAUUCAUCUUUCCAGAAAGUAUUUGGAUGAAAACACCAAGAUAAUAAAAUCUCACAGAAUCUAUUUUUCUAUCUUAUUUAUUUAUUUACUAAUCAGACAAAAAAUGAAAACAAAGUCAUAAGCAAUUUGAUUCAUCAAGUCUAUCAUAUGUUUCUAGAGAAAUCUGGAAAGGAUAACAAUUUCAAUUCUUCUUGAUAAAUUUUGGUGGCAUUCUGAAUGCGUUGGAAGGAUAUGUUCAUUUUGGGUGUCAAUUUCAUUUCCAUUUAGUAAGGAAGAUGAGACAUAGCAUGUGGCUUCCAUUAAACGUGAUAUGUUGCUCUCUUAUUGCUUCCCACGUUUAUGUCCUUCACAAUUCAAUUAAUUCAAGAAUUACUUACAGGACAACAAUUUCUUCUAUCAAUUAAUUCUUGGCCCAUGCAAUGCCAAAAAAAAAAAAAAAAAAAGACUACUUCGCUAGACACCUAACCCUACAAUGCAUAUGAAUAUACUCUCUUCAUCCUCCUUCGCCCCCUUAUCUUCUGUACUUAAAGCUUGUGCCCUGUUGAAAACAUUUCGACUAGGCAAGCAAGUACAUGGUUUGGUUGUUGUUUUGGGACGUGAUUUGGUAUUUUUGAGACCCAGAUGUGCAAUGUAAUGCUAGAUAUGAUGAACAAUACCGGCCCUAUCAACUCAUUAAGAAUUCUAAAAUUAGCAAUUACCAUUCCAGAGAUACCGAACAAAGAUAAUCCUAGAGCAAGGGCAUCUACUGCAUAUGAAUUCCACUGAUUGUUAAAGAGACAAUGGACUAAAUGUAAACCUUUCGAAGCUGACAAAUAGCUGCAAAGUCAAAAAGCCUCUUUCGACUCCAUCAACUUUGAAGCUGGAGCGCAUUUCAGCAAACAUUGUAAAUAGCCAUCUCCAUCAACUCAAUGACUCAUUACUGACAAACAAACACACGCACAGAGACACCCAAAUCAAUGAAACCAGAUGCAAUUCGAAAUAAAUAAACAAAGAAAGAAAAGUGGAAAAGGCAAAAACCUUGCUGCAGGAGAACCAACAGGUGCAGCUGAGUGUUGAUCAGUGACGACGAACGGUGGCGGCUGAGCGGUUGACCGGCUGUUAGUGACGACGGCAGCUCACGAACUGUUUCUUUCGGGGAAAAAAAUUGAUUCGAUGGCAUUACAAUUUCAAAGUUUAAAAUAUUAGAUUUUUUUUUUGUUUUUAUUUUCGGGUUGAGUUAGGGGAUCCGGAAAAUCCCCAAACCCGAACCCGAAAAGUUUUGGGAUUUUAGACCCAUACCCAAAUUGACCCGAAUUUAUUUUUAGACUUUUUCGGGGCCCCAUACCCACCCCAAAUUAAUUAGGGCCCCGCGGGUUUGGAGCCCCGCGGGUAUUGUUGCCAACUCUAGAUACUAUUGGCACCCCUCAAUAGUUCCUAUGAAACUCCCCUACUAUGUAUUUUACACAUUUAACCUUGAUUGAAAUUAUAAGAACUCUAAUUCAAAUAAAAAAGAAAUUAUAAGAAUUCUUUACACCCCUAUAUUAUUAAGUAGCGAAUUGUUUAAAAAAACAAAACAAAUUGAACCAUAAAAUAACAAACCUAAGCAAAAGAGGCAUAAAUAUAAUUUUUCCCUUAACACGUAGAACUAGCAAAGUAGCAAUCAAAGGGGUAUUUAAUACUUUCAUUAAGGAAGAGUGGAGGUUUAUUAGUCAUGGUGGUUUAUUCUUUAAAUUUCAUUUACCGGUUAUGGAAAAUGUUGUUUAUUGAGUGUUAUAUCUAGCCGAAUGUUACUACUGGUCAUGAGAUUUAAAAAAAAAUAUUUUAGGGUUCAAUGAGGAGGAAGAAGAUGGGGCUAUUUGAGGAAUUAAAAUGAGUGUUAUUAGUGAAAUAUUAAUUUUAGUACUUUAAUUAAUGGGUACGUUCAAAAUAGGGGCUUUAUGAGAUUAUUAGAGGGGUGUUAAUAGCUCCACUCUUUUUUUAAAUAUAUAAUUAGAUAUUGGAUGGAUCUGAAUAUUAGAUGUGAAUCCAUUUAUCUAAUUGGGCUAAAAAAUAAUAUUUUAUAAAAUUAAAAUGAAGUGAAGAAUUAUAUUUGCCAUAAUAUUCAUUUACCCGAAUGUCAUACCCUUUUCUAUUUUUUAUUUAGCAAAUCCUAGGUUAUCUCUUUUUACUUCACACGUCAGCUACUAGUUGCUCGCGAGCCAUUGAUCACACCGGUUGUUGCUUAUUCACGGGACAUUGGUAUUAGUUUAUUCCCGACUUUGCUAUCUCCUCUUCAGCGUUACAGCUUCUUCUUUUUCUUAUUUAACAUAUCUUUCUUUUUAUCUUUCUCUCAGUGCAUUAAUAACUACAUGUGUUAGCUUUUAUUUUAUGUCUGUGUUUUGAUAUCAAUUGAUGGUCCAAAUGUUGCGUGAACUGUGGAAGUUUUCUUCUUUGCUUGAGUUAAAUGAAACAUUUGAAAUAUACUGAUAAUUUGGUGUUCGCAUGUUAAUUUAUGGAUAAUUCGACAUAAUUCACAUGUAGAAAUUAUUUUUGAAAUUUAUGGGCUAAAUAAAUUUUAUGGACUAAAAAUUCAUUUCAAGCACCUGCCAUUUCUUGUAAACUAAUACUUACUAGGUAAAAAUGGUUAUUCUUUAAAUUACUUUUAUUUGUGAGUGUAUAAUUUGAUGAAUAGUGGAUUUGAAAUAUUCCGUAAACAACACUUUGGUCAAUAUUUGUGAGUGCAAGAUUUGAUGUUCCAUGCCAACACAUGUAGUAGAAUUUAGUAUGGGUGGUCGAUUUUUAAUCCCACAUCGCAGUAGACUUCAUCCUAGUAUAUUAGAGACUUUAGUGUGUGCUCAGAAUUAGAUAUGAGUUCAAAUAAAAGGUAUCAAACUCAUCUGAGUUCCACAUUUUAUUUAAGUUUGAUAACAUUUGUUUACAUUCUAUUUCAAAACCACUUUUAUUUUUUUUAACCAAAAAAAAAAAGAAAAACGGAAGUCCUAAAGAUAAGCUAAUAACAAAGAAGAAAUAAAUAGAGAAGUGAUUAAUAAUGAUGAUGAAUAGGAGACAUAGCACAUGUUUUGAAUAGUGCUUAUUUUUUCUUUUUUUGUACAUGCGCUUGAUGCUCAUUAUGAUGCUAUCAUGGUCAUACAUAAUACAAACUAUUUACUUAUUUAAUGCUUUAAUUGUAUUAAUUUGCAGAUUUAUGAUGAUGAUCAGAUUCGAGAUUGAAAGCUUAAUUGUAAGUCAUUACAAACAAGCCUUAUUAGAAGGCUUUUGUGGAUUUGUAAUUCCAAAUGAUAGGUUCUUUUUUGUGGAUUUGUAGUUAUGAUAUUUGUUAUUUGGAUGUUUAUUUUUUCUAAUUUAGUAUUAAAAUCUGAUAGUGAUUUAACUAUUUUAUAUUAUUAUUUUAUAUUUCAUAUUUUUUUGCUUUAUUUUCAUAUGAUAAAAAUUAAAUAUCCGUGGAUAUUCAUAUCCAUAUCCAUAUCAAAUUUUAAAAAUUAGAUAUGAAUAUGGACAUAUCCAUCAUAGCUAAUUAUGAAUUUACAUUUGGAUGGAUACUUGCCAUUGAUAGAUUGAAGUAGCUUGAUCAAAUGGCGCUCGACGAACUAGAUAUUGGUAGGAUGGUGUGUGUGUGUGUGCGCGCGCGCGCGUGCGCAUGCGCGGGUUCGUAUGUUUAUGAGAAUUGACAAUCAAUAAGAAAAUGCUUUAUUAUAUACUUAACAAAAGUGCUAGGCGUGUUUGAUAUCUCGAAAACAACAUCACCAUCCAUUAAUAACACUCCUCUUACAUUUUUGAACGCCGUCUUUUGAAGGGGGGACAAUGGGUUGAUGGGUUGAAUUUGUGUCAAAUCCUAAAUAACUUGUUGUUAAGUUUUAGAAUUUAAAUUCAAUCUAUUUAUUAAAUGAAUAAUAAUAUAAAUUAUUUUUUGAUUUGAUUCCUUUAUCUUUAAGUAACAAAUGAAUCUAAUCGAAUUUUGAUUGGUUUAAUUUGUUCAUCUAUAAUCAUACUUUUAUUUUUUCUUAUUCAUCAGUUAAUUACAAAACUAAUGUUACCGCUUAAUGAUUUUUAUAUUAAAUUUAAAAUUAUAAAUUUAUCUUAAUUAACAAAUAUUACUUUUUGAAUAUGAAUUCCUUAGGAAGCAAAGAAUCAGAAUUUUAUUUUGAAAAUAAAAUGCUAAACUCCGAAAUAAUCCACUCUCCUAUAUCAGUCGUCCUUAGUAUUUCUUAUUUUACCAUUUACUCUCUGAAUAUGAUAUAAUAAUAAAUAAUCACUCACCACCAAUGAUUUGCAGAUGAAGAAGAUAGAUCAAAUGGAACACAUGAAAUACAUUUGGCGCAAAAAUAUGGGCUCUAAUCAGGAAAAUGAUGAACCAAAAUACCAACACGAAGAAAAGUUUUUAUUGUCGGUAAACAUGCAACAUCAAUGCAAAUUUUAUUAUUACGACUUUAUUCAUUUAUAAAAGCAUGCGUAUAACUUUGAAACGAAACAAACUUUAAUUUUAUUUAUUGUAAUUUCAAUUUAUAAGAUUUACUUAAUUUAUAAUAAAUUUAAAAAAAGUGUAUUAUAAAAUAAAAUAAAAUAAAAUUACUAAAUAAUGGUGUGCAGUGGUUAUUACUUUUUUUAAAAAUAAUAUGGAAAUAAACAAUAUAUAUGUUUAUUUUAGUAAGGAGAAAACUAAUAAUCUCUUUUUUUAUAAAAAAAUUUAUCUGUAUAUCAUCUAUGUAUGGUUUAUCCAUUACAGUCCCAUGGUUGGCUUCUUUAAUUCUACAUAUUUUAUGCUAUAAUCGAGUCAAGUUCAUAGAUUCUUAUGGCUCCCCCCAAAACAAAAUCCUGUAUUACAAGAAAUUAAUGCCUAAUUUUUUCUUACUGGAAUUGAACUAUCACAAUGAUUUAAUCUCCUUCGUAAUUUAAAAUGAAAAUGUUGACACCAAUCAGGAAAAUGAUGAACCAAAAUAGCCACCUGAAGAAAAAAGGUAUUUAUUAUUCAUAGACAUGCAACAUUGAUGCAACUUUUAUUAUUACAACUUAAUUUAUUCAUUUAUUAAAGCAUGCGUACAGCCUUAAAAGAAAACAAACUUUAUUUUUAAUUGGAAGCAUUUGCGGAGCUCUCAGCAGCUCGAUCUUCAAACCUUUUUAAACACAACUUUGAACGGAACAUCACUCAAAGCCAGACGCCGCACCCCACCAUUAAUAAAAAUGCCAACAUCUCUGCACAAACCUCUGCAGAAAUUGCAAACCGAAGGACAGUAGACAAGCUUGUAAUCACCAAAAAACUUCUCAAUCUUAAACCAAUUUCUCAUGGUUCUGGGGCCGGGAUUGCCUUCAACUCCCCCAGUUGUCACAAGCCACUGCCCAAAUGCCGCAUCAAAAUUGUCAAGCUUCCACACUGUGGACUGCGCACAACUUGUUGCAGCGUCAAAUUUGAUGUUUAAGUCAGUGGACUCACGAACAACGCCUUUUUUAGGGUUAACGGGCGAAAAUGUUACCGGAAAACCAUUUUUAAAUGAAUGCUGCUCUUGAACAACAUCUAGGGGACAUGUCUUAUUGUUGCUUCUGCCAGCAAGUGUAAGCCCGCCGCCUCUGACCUUUGUAACGGGCAAGAUGUAGUACUUACUGCCAGCUCGGAGCUGCUUACCAGAGAUGUCCAGCACCGGAUCAGGUUGAGCAUUGCCCUUGACAGGUAAUGGCGUUGCAGUGAAGGCAAGGAGAAGGAUCAGCGAGGGUAAGACUAACGUGCUUCUCAAUGUUAUAUCGUUAUAUUUUUUGUUCUUAUCUUUUGUUGUUGCAUGUAAAUAUCCCUUAUGAGACCAAAUUUAUAGAAUUAGGUUAGCAUAGCUAAUUGACGGACAGCAUGUUGGUUGGAUUUGACUGUCCGAUUCGAGAAGCCGAUGGCCGCCCAUAAGACAUGAGCGGAUUAUCAGAUUCUGCUUUGUGUGCUGUAACCCACCCCCCACAAACGAAACAGCCUGAUUAGAAGAUUUAAUACAAAUUCCAAGCUAUGGAAAGCGUAAUUUAAUGAGAAAGUCAAAGAUUUAGUUUAGAGUAAGAAGUCAAUACCCUUAUCUUUUCUCUUAGACUAAAUUUAACGGAAUUUAGAUCUGAUUCCUGUGUCUUUGUUGAUGGUUUCGUCAUUUUGUUUUGCAUGGUAUAUAUGUUUAUUCUUAAAAGAACAAGUCUUUUAGCUGAAGUUGGCCUGGUCAAGCGACGAGUUAAUUGAAAAAUUAAAGUAGCAAAGAAAUGAUAAAGCAUAUGUCUAGGCAGGCACAACAUGAGCCCUGUCUUUUAAUUCAAAAAUCGCACCAAGAAUUUGAAAACAAAAAAUGAUGUAAAAAGACAUACAAGAGAUGAUCAAAACAUGUUACUAGCAGAUCUAUUGCCUAUGUCGAUAUAGAGAUGUCGUUUAGUAUUAUAUUAUGUGAAAUUAAUAGCCGUACACCCUAAGUUUACUUUGUUAUAAAAAAUACUACAAAAUUUUCAAUUUGUUUUAACUUUUCAUCCUAAAUUUUCAAAAUCACAUAACAGUUUAAAUUUUUUUUAAAAAAUUGUGAUAACCAAUAUUCAAUUAAAUACACUUAAAACUCUAAUGUUUUCCUUAAAUUCGUGGACACCCAAUCUAUUUAAUUAGCCAAUUCAUUUUCUUAAGUAAAAAAAGCUAAAUUAAUUUUUAUUAUUUAUGGUGCAAAGUCAAAAAUUCCAUUGAAUUCAAAGGAGAAUUGCCAUUUUACUUAAAUGUUGUUAAGCAUUCUAGCGGUGUGAACGUUUUGCUGAAUGAUUGAUAUAAAUUACAAACUUAGGGUGGAAAAUCAAAUAAAUUCAAACUUUUCUUAUAUUUUUCAUAACAUGUAAAGUUAGGGCAUGCGGCUUAUAAUUUUUCUAAAUUUUAAGUGCCUAAAACUAUAUUAUAUAUCCUUAACAGGGUUCCAACUAAAGCGACUAUCAAGUCCCCUUACGAGCUUUAGACGAACAAAAAUCCUAGUCUAAAACACUUGCAUGUUUGGGAUGUCUAAUUGAGGCAAGACCUUAUAGGCCUAACGUGAAACAAUGAGUUGUUAUUUUUAUGACUCCAUGACUAAGUUGAUUUUCGAGUUGGAAAAUGCUUAGUUCUUUAAGGAUGUCGAGUUUGCGGGAGUGAUACAGCUAGGGACUUUGUCUUUGAAUAGGGAUAUGUUGAUAUUCCUAUAAAUGUUAUUGGCAUUUAUCACGGUCUCAUUCCCCUAUACAAGAAGUUGCUCCAGAAGAACAAACUUUACCAUCUUAAGAACCUACUCUAUUAAGGAGGUUCGCUAGAGAAAGGAGAAGUGCAAUGCCAAACGACUACAUUAUUUUUUCCAAGAGCAUGAGGUAAACAUUAGAGUGACGGAAGAUAAUCUAAUCAAUUACUAUCAAACCAUAGAAAGUUCUAACUCUCAGACGUGGAUUGAUGGCGUGAAUGAGGAGAUGAAGUCUAUGAAGGAUAAUGACGUGUGGAAUCUUAUCCCAUUACCAGCAGGUGUGAAACCUAUUGGUUGCAAAUACAUAUUUAAGACCAAGAGAGAUUCAAAAGGCAAUGUAGAGUAGUACAAUGUGUGUCUAGUCGGAAAGGGCUUUAUACAUAACGAAGGCAUUGACUAUAAAGAAACUUUCUCUCUGAUUUCUUUGAAAGACUCUUUCAGGAUUCAAUUUUAUACAUCAAAUGGAUGUGAAGAUAGUAUUUCUCCAUGGUGACAUUUAUGAGAAUAUCUAUAUCGUGUAAGCAGAAAGUUUGGGUCAAGAAACCCGAAGAAUAUGAUUUGUAAGCUUAAGAAAUCCAUUUAUAAACUCAAGCAAGCAUCUUGACAAUGAUAUUUCAAGUUUCAUCAAGUGAUUAUCUCAUUCAAUUUUGAGAUGAAUUUGGUCAAUGAUUUCAUAAACCAUAAGUUCUAUGUGAGCAAGUAUAUUUUUCUAGUUUUAUGCAUUGAUGACAUUUUGCGUGCCAGUAAUAAUAUAGGCUUAUCGCAUGACAUUAAGAGAUUUCUAGCUAAAAUUUUAAGAUGAAAGAUCUUGGUGAGCCUAUUUUGUAUUAGACAUAUAGAUACACCUGAAUCGCUCCUAAGUUAUUCUUGGAUUAUCACAAAAACGUAAUAUCAAAAUGAUUCUCAAGAGAAAACAAAAGGCCACAUGCUCAAAUAUUAGAGGCUAGAUUUGAUUGAGAUCGUUGGGGUAUAUUGACUCCAAUUUUGCUGGAUGCCAAGAUAGUAUGAAGUCCACAUAGGGUUACAUCUAUCUUAUAGUUGGGGUUGUUGUCUCUUGGAAGAAUGCUAAACAAUCUUUUAAAACCUCUUCUAUAAUGGCAACAAAGUUCAUAGCAUGUUAUGAAGUAUCCAAUCACUGAAUAUAGCUGCAAAAUUUUGUUAUGGGACUAUGAAUAGUAGAUGGUAUAGAUAGAUCACUUAAGUUAUCUUGUGGCAAUAAGUCGAUAAUGCCUUAUUCCAAUAACAACAAGAACUUGAUGAAGUCAAAGUAUAUAGACAUCAAAUUCUUAGUUGUUACAGAAAGAAUUUAGAAUGGACAGUUGUGUAUAAAGCAUGUGAGCAUAAACUCUAUAAUUGCGGAUCCGCUUACUAAGGUAUUGCCACCCAAGAUGCUUCAUGAGUACACUACUUGUAUGGGUGUCAUGUUAUUAGAGGAUAUUUAGUUUAGUUGGAGAUUGUGAUUUUAGAUUCUAAUAUAAUAUAGACAUAUUUCAGUUUAUCGAUAUUUCAUGUUAUUUUCUGCAGAAAUAAAGUUUUCAUUUUUUCACACUCUAAUUUUAAUAUGCUUUGAUCUCACUGAGGUUUAAGGUAAACCAGUUGGAAAUAAGCAUGUUAAGAUCACAUUGCAUGAAAUUUCUAUGCUACACAUCAACAUUAUAAUCCAUGUCUUUUAGGUCUAGGCAUAGUGACCAUGCCUGGAUCGAGUUAUAGUAGUUGUAACAAAGGCCGCCUUUGAUCCUAUGUUGGUAUAAUUGAUAGACUUGAUUGGUUAUAGAAACAUUUCGAUAAUAAUAGUAACGUUGAUCUCAUACAGUUAUUUUUACAAAGCCUAAUUAUACGGUUACAUAAAUAGCCCAAAUAGGAGAUUGUUGAAUUUUUUAAUCUAGCAUUGUUAGAUCCUUAAUCUAAUGUUAGGCUUAUAUAUGAAUAAUUAUGUGUUGUGAACUGUUGUAUAUGGUUAUAUUCAAUUAAAAGUGAUCUAUUAAGGUCUACAAUAAUAUAGGCUUUAAUGCAUUUAAUAAGGUGUUGAUUUUUAAUGUGUAGAGACUUAAGAGUAAUUUCUAUUUCUUUGACUGGUUGAAAUAAGAAUACCUGAAGCAAAUAGAAAACAUUAUCUAUAUAAGUAGUCAUGAUCCUCAGGUCACAUGUAUCAUUCUAUUCUUUCUAACAUCCCAUCUAGGGGUUUGAGAUGCCUCUUCCUGCUUCAACUCUUGUGAGUUCUCUUUAAUUUUCUCUCUUUUUCUAUUUAUUUUAUUUUUUAAUUUUAUUCCUAUUUUAUUUUUCUAGUUAUGUUUGUCAAUUAGUUGAAUAAUUAUAGUAAUCAAUUUUAGAGAUGAUACAAUCGAUUCUCUAGUGGGUCCUCAUAACUUUUCCAGAUAAGUCUACUUCUUAAUGGCAUUAAACCAUUGAGAGAGAAAGUGAAUAAGUUGAGAAGUUUUCUAUAAACUGGUAUUUUUUAAUUUUGAAUGUUCACUUCGUUAAAAAAAGUAAUUUUUUUAUAUUUAAAUGGCAACUAUUUAUUUUUCUUUAAUUAAGGAGUUCCUAGAAGAACCAUAAAUUAAGAAUAGUGACAAUUGUAUCUAGUAUUGGUUGAAUCUAUUUUUCUUCAUUAAUGAGAUAAUAUUAUAUCACCUAAUAAAUGAUGACAUGUCAUAUGUUUCAUUACUUUUGGAUUUAAAUAGUGUAUCCCAGUAACGGGUAUAUGUAGCAUGACUUCGCUUUAUACUGAAAUUAAAAUUCAAGAUUGAUUUACGAUGUCAUAAUUGAAUUUAAAACAUUGUAAAAAUAUGUUUAUGACAUCAUAAGCUCGUCCAAGACUUUAAUCCCAAAUUAAAAAAAUUAUGUAUGUAGCAUAACUCUUAUUUAUUUGUAACUAUGAUGUAGAUCUCGGCGAUGUUGGUAAAUUUUUUUCUAAAAUAUACUACUUAGAUUCUUGAUUUUAAUUUAAUAGAUAGGAAUAGAUAGAGUAUAAAUUAGGGGUGGGCAAAAUUCAUAUCAGGUUAAAAAGUCGGGCGGAGUUCAGAUCGAAUCAGAUUUGAGUUAAUUCGGGUUAUUUGGAUCAAUUUGGGUCAAUUCGGGUCGGGUGUAAACGGAUCAAAUUCGGGUUAAUUCGGGUUCGGAUUAAAUUUGGGUUAUUCGGAUCAAUUUGGGUCAAUUCGGGUUAUAGCUAAUUUAGUAAUUGGGGAGGUGAAAUUAGGAAAUUAAUUUAUUAUAAUUUUAUUGUAUUUUUUCCUGAGGAGUUUUGGUGCUGGAAAGAUUGUAAAAGUUACAUGAAAUUAUCUUUUUUAUUUUGUGUUGUUGAUUAUGAGGCUCAUAAUGAAUCUUGCACCAAGCAUUCUUACAAAAAUUUUGUUCAUAUUAAAAUAAAUUAGGUUUGUGUUCAUUUUGCCAAUAACAACAUGAACGUGCAUGUCCGUUAUAAAACAAGCAUUUGUGCAAUUGCACUCGAAAAAUAAAAUAAACUUGCCAUUAUUUUUGCUUUUCCUGAUUCAGUUUCUGUUGAAACUAAAGCUUAUCCAUGCAAAAAUCUCUCUAUAUGGAGGAAAACCAACCCAACUUGUCAAUAUAAAGAAAAAUCUUCAAUGGCGUAUGUCAUCAAUGCUUUAUGCUAUAACAAAUACUCACAACUCUGCCAUUUAAUAAUGAAAAAAGUUGAACUAUCAUGUGCAUCUUAUAACCAAAACUUUAGACAGUCAAAUCAGAAAAAAUAAUAUAUGCAUGGUAUUCAAAAUUCCAAAUAAUCUAAGUGUUAUGCAAAUUUUAAUGUACUCGCAAGCGCACGAAUCUAUUGUAGUAUAGACUAAUAGUGACGAGUGUCGAUCCCACGAAGAGGUGGAUUUUAAUUAUAUGUAGAAUUAAUUUUGUAAAUGAGUGGUUGGAUUUAUGGUGGAAACGAUUUGGAAUAUGCUAAGACUUAAAUUAAAAUGGCGAGAAUAAAUUCUAAAAUUGGAAUUGCAAUAGAGAGAAUAAAUUGAAGAGAAAAUUUAUUAAAUUGACGUACUUGGGUAUCUGGAUCCGUAUCAACAUGCAUCAUGGGCUAAAUAAUCCGUAUUAAUGCCAAUUAAAUCAUGAGGGGGGAAUCCACACCUCAUGAACCACGCUCUAAUCAAUAUGGUGCUAAGGGUUUAUCGUGCCAAAUAAUAAUAACCUUGUACUAGAGGGUUGGUGAAACCAAGGCGGUACUAGACAAGAAUAUUAUUAUUUGUCGACGAAAAGUUAAAACAUCCACAAAAACUAGAGGGGAAGAGAAAAUAAAUUUACCAAAUUAAGCCCAUGACACAUGUUGAGACUUCACCUUCAACCCAAGCUUGAAAGAAAAUUAGCCACUCAUAAUUGAACUAGGGGCAAAAUGGGAAUUUAUUAAAAUAUGAAGAAAAUACAAGAUGGAGAGGGAAUUACAGAAAAUGGAGUCCAAAAAUGGAUUCAUAGAUAUCAAAUUAGGGGGGAGAGGCCCCCCUUUUAUAGAUACAUGAAGUAAAUCAUGGCUAUCGGAUUAAAAACAGUUUGGACGCUCAGGAUUGCGCCACGUCAUCAGUCAACAGUCCAUGGUUUGACCACGCAGAUGAACAGUAACACGGUUUGACCCGACUUUGAACAGUAACGCAGUUUGACCCGGAUGAACAGUAACGUGGUUUGGUUGAAAAUAAUCCUGUGUAAUGCAUGCACCGUACGCGAGAUUUUUCGUCCACUGAUAUGCUGCCACGUCACCAUCAACAGUACAUAAGAAUUUUAGUCCAACAGGAUCGUGACACCUCAUCAGUCAAUGCCACAUCAUCGGUCAAUGCCACGUCAUCAUCCGUCUAUGUGAACAGUGUCGUGAACAGUAACGUAUACAGUACCGUACACGUUAAUAGUACCGUACAUGUGAAUAGUGCCAAUUUUCCUUUUAUGCUCCUCCUAAGGUUUUUGACCGUCCUGAGUUCAAAAGUGAUGUCCGUUUUGCCGUCUGAUUUCUCCUUUAUUGUGAAAUGACUAUAAUACCCCUAAAAUACAUAAAAUACUUAAUUAAAAUAAAACACAUGGAAUUAAAUCACAAGAAGGUUAAAUACAUAAAAGUAAGGGUUGUUAGUAAGACUUGAAAUGUAAAAUGACGGUUUUCUCCUUUAUAAAUAUGCAUUUUCUAACACUCAACACACCCCCCAACCAACUUAUUGUUAGUCCCUAGCAAAUAAAGCGAAAAUAAAAUUCAAAUUCAAAAUGAUUUUUUUUUUUAGAAACACUCGUGUUUAUUCAAUCAGAUUAAUGAUAGCAAUCAAAUAAAAGUAUAAGCAUUAUCUCCAGUCUAAAGCAACAUCACACCCACAUCAACCAUCCACAUGAAUUAGCCCAGUGGACUUUGUUAUAGCUAUUUUCAAGAAUGACAUGUCAAACCCCAAAAUCUCACUGGAAGUAGUGACACUCUCACAAAUAAAUUAAACCCAAUAAAAAUAGUCACUCCAAUUAAUGGUAAUUGAGAGAGAAAAUAAUAAAGAAGUGAUAUCACAUGCUCUCACCAAGAUGAAAUAAAUAUGCCCUCAGCUUAGAAAUAAUACGAUCUCAAGUCAAAUAAAAUGUUAGUCAACCCACUUUAUUUAUCUUUUUUUCUUUUUAAUUAUGCAUCACUACAUCUUUUUAGCCCAUAUAACUAGCUUCUACUUCGGACUAUAGUUCCCUAAAAUAAAAAAGGACUUUUAUUAGGACGUAACGUAGGCUAGGGACAUGGUUAACAAAGAAGGGAAAUAAGGAAAACAAAGUGUAUGUUUGAGAAAAAUGCAGAGAAUUUUUUUUUUUUGGAAGUUGCAAGGUGGAUUUCACCUAUUAUUGUUAUUUUUAUUCUUUUGAAACAACUUUUGUUUUGUUUUUUUUCUCUUUUUUUUUCUUUUAUUUGGCACAACUUCAUUGAACAAAAUAAUUAUUUACAUUUUUCUCAAACAUAAAUAGGUGAUAGACCUUAUAAGACAUCGGGUAAUACUCCUAAGACAUCGGGUAAUACUCCAAAUCGGAGUGGGUCAAGAUGAUAAGUUGACAAAGAAAAAGUUUUUUUUUUUUUUUAAAGGCUCAAAAGGGUUAACUAUGGAUAUAUCACAAAAGGGAUGGCUAAAAAGGCUCAAACGGGACAAAGAUGGCAGGAAAAUAUGAAAGGAAAAUAUGAAAGGAAAUGUGAAAAUGAUGAAAAAAAACAAAUUAGAAAAAGUACACUUAAAAUGAUAGAAAAAGAAAAUGGUUUUUUUUUUUUUACUAAGAAGAUGCGUUUCUAGAGGCACUACACUCCAUAUUCAGCCAUCUUCGACUCAAAAGUUGGAAAAUGUAUAUUCAUAGAGGAGAAAUUAAAAAGAAGAAAAAUAAACAUCAAAACUUAAUAAAGAAAAAGAAAAUGUCUAAUUUUUUUUUUUGAAAUUUUUUUUUCCAAACAAUGAAGAUGCGUUUCUAGAGUAACUACACUCCAUAUUCAGCCAUCUUCAACACAAAAAGUUAGCAACAGUUAGUUUCUACAACAAAAAAUUAGUAAAAACCUAACUAAGAUUCCACAAUUGUCGACUAUUCCCUCCCCCCAACCAGAAUGAAACAUUGUCCUCAAUGUUUGAAAGGAAAGAAUUAGAGUUUAGAAGACAUCACCUGGGUGGUGCAACACAGAAGAAAAUAUUUACAGGCGGAGAGUUAAAUCUAAUUUGUACUGCUUACUGUUGCUACUGUUACCAUCAUUAUUUUGACGCUCCAACACAAAGGUCCAGGGGUCUGGCUUCGGUCUAUAAGCUUGUAACAGAUCAAGUAGCUCAUUAGCAGUGUGAGCACAAAUAAAGAGUUUUUUCACAUUAGCGGGAAUGAAAUAGUUUUUUAUUGCAUGGUUAAGAAAUGCGAUAAAGCCAUCAUAAAAGUUAUUGACAUUUAACAAACCGAUGGGUUUCUGGUGGAUGUGGAGAUGGGCCCAAGAUGCUAGUGUGAUAAGUGCCUCUAGUGUUGCAAGAUCUCCUGGAAGGAAAAUAAAAGCAUCAACAUGAUUAAGCAUUUCGGUUAUUCUUUCUUGCAUACCUGAGACAACUAACUCUUCUCCAGUUGAUGAGUCAGACGAACUGCCCAACGGUUUUAGGACUCUUGGGAUGAUGCCUAACACUUGACUUCCUCUGACAAAAGCUGCUUCAAAGACCAUUUUUGAUAACCCUCGGUUACCUCCUUCAUACACCAAGUGUAAUUUUCUCUCUGCUAUACUUUGACUAAGAUCGAUGGCUGCCUCAACGAACUCUUUAUGUUUGCCAUAGGUAAAUCCAAAAAGCACACAAAUGUUCUUGAAUUGUCUAUUUGGAGUAGCUGCCAUUGUGAUACUUCUCAAAAAAUAAUUUGUGAGUGCUUGACAAAAAAAAUCACAUUUAAGAGUCUUGGUGCCAGUGGGUCACAGUUGUGUAUGAGGUAACAUGUCAGUGUCAAAUAACGCGUAAAGCACGUGGCUCGCGAGUCAAAAAGGAAACAGUAAAAAGGAAAAAGUAAACAGUAAUAAGAAAAAAGCAAACAGUAAUAAAAUUAUUAAAGACAAUAAUGCACACAAUAAAACAAAAAUAACAGUAAAGUAAAAAGAUAUUUACAGGUAGUUGCGACUGUGGCUCACAUCUUCCUCUGGUUUUACGUACAGAAACGGCUUGAACGCCCUUUAUGGGUCGAGGAUAGGCUUCCUAUCCAGUUUUCUUAUAAACUGGCAAACAAGGUCGUUUAUAGUCAGAUUCCCGAGACUAUAUCGUGCAUGCUCUUUCUGGAAUAAUGGCCAUAACUGGAGAAUCGCUCCUUGCACAUAUCCACUGGGAUGCGUUUCAAGAGACAAAAGGAUAUCAUCCAAUGACUCCUUAUUCAAGCCAUCCCUAAUGAAUUGAAUCUUAUCUUCCCUGUUAUCAGACAUCAUUCCUAAAGAACAUGGGUUUUUAUUGCAACUCAUUCUGGCACACUUAUGACAAGCAACAGAAAUUCUUCGAACUCGUCGUUUUCUUGCAUAAUUUCCUUUACCACAACCAGGCAUGAAUGCAAUAAAUUUUGGAGGUAACUCACCUGCCGAUCGUACUUUAGCCUCGAUUAACCAACAGAUGUCAGCAGGUAUGUUAUUCCUCAUGAGUAAUCGCAUGCGUUCGGACCGAGCUUUAUAGAUUGUAAGGAGGGCAUUCUGAGGAAGUGAAGGGAAUCGCUUGUGAAGCUUCGCUAGAAUCUCGUUUCUGUCCAUACUUUCGCCUCAGAAUAUCAGUUAUUAUGGGAAACUGAAGUAAUCGACUUGAUUGUCACGGAGUACCGUUAUCCGCCACUUCACCGAGGUAACAAACUAAAACACACAAAUAGAAAAACAAAUUAAAACACACAAAGAAAAUUAAAAUCAUCCUCUUAUUGAAUUUACCUCAAGCUCCAACUGGAUGUCGUAAACACUUCUCUCAAUGUCUCUGAGUUGGCGUUCUAAACCCUCAACAUAGACUACUAACUCUGGUGGUUGUAGAGCCCAAAUGCGUUGUGUUUUACAAAAUUGAAUCUGCCUUUUGAGAUGAGUUUUGACACGUUGAAGUGGUUUAAGAAUGUUCAGAAGGAACGGUCUAAGUAUGAGACUCAUGAUUAAAAAUGAUAAGAGAAAACUUAAUGGUAAAAUAAACACACUUAUGCAAAAAUAAUUUCAAUUAGUAAAAGAAUAAUAAUAAAAAGAAAUAAAGAAAAAUCAAAUCAACGAAAAGAAAAAUCAAUUCAAAUCUGGUGGGUCACUCAAAUUUAUUUCGGUGUCUUCUCAAUGUGAUUGGUAUUCUAGAUAUGGCUUUAAUCUUUGACUAUUAACUUUAAAUGUGACACCGUUCUUUGGGUCCUUAAUUUUAAUUGCCCUAUGUGGAAAAACAGUAUGAACAAUAAAUGGGCCAAACCAACGAGAGCGUAACUUACUUGGGAAUAAGUGCAAGCGAGAAUUGAAUAAAAGCACUUUCUGACCUAGAGUGAAAGAUUUUCUCAUAAUUUGCUUGUUAUGGAAGACUUUCAUUCGUUGCUUGUAAAUCUUGGCAUUUUCGUACGCGUCAUUGCGAAUUUCUUCAAGUUCUGCCAGCUGUAAUCUUCUUUCUGAGCUGGCUUGCUGCAUGUCAAAAUUGAAUUUCUUGAUGGCCCAAUAUGCACGAUGCUCGAGUUCCACAGGUAGGUGGCAAGCUUUUCCAUACACUAGCCUGUAGGGUGACAUCCCAAUCGGGGUCUUGAAAGCCGUUCUAUAUGCCCAUAAGGCAUCAUCAAGUCUUAAUGACCAAUCUUUUCUGUCUGGCCUCACCGUCUUUUCUACUAUGUGCUUUAUUUCUCGAUUGGAGAUCUCAACUUGGCCACUGGUUUGCGGAUGAUACGGAGUCGCCACUUUGUGUGUGAUUGAAUACUUUGUCAAAAGAACCUUGAAUGCUUUGUUACAAAAGUGGGCACCACCAUCACUGAUUAUCGCUUGAGGGAAUCCAAAGCGUGAAACAAUGUUGCUUUUCAAAAAUGCUAUCACCACCUUGUGAUCAUUAGUUCUGCAUGGAAUUGCUUCUACCCAUUUGGAUACGUAGUCAACAGCAACCAAUAUGUAUUGAUGGCCAAAAGACGGGGGAAAGGGUCCCAUGAAGUCGAUACCCCAUACGUCAAAAAUCUCAACCACUAAAAUUGGAUUUAGUGGCAUCAUGUUCCUUCGUGUAAUGCUCCCCAUUCGUUGACACCUAUCACAUGAAGAACAAAAAGUGUAAGCAUCUCGAAAUAUAGUUGGCCAAUAGAAACCACAUUGUAAAACUUUAGUCGCUGUUUUCUUAGCGCUGAAAUGGCCUCCACAAGCUUGUUCAUGGCAGAAUGAAAGGAUAUUCGGAAUUUCACUUUUUGGGACGCAUCGUCUAACAAUUUGGUCUGCACAAUACUUGAACAAAUACGGGUCAUCCCAAAAGAAAUUCUUUAUUUCUGCAAAGAAUUUAGCUUUGUCUUACUUGGUCCAAUACUCUGGAAGUUUACCUGUAACAAGAUAAUUAACUAUAUUAGCAUACCAAGGUAAUACUUCCACAUUCAUUAAUUGUUCAUCUGGAAACGACUCAUUCAAUGGUAAUGAUUCUGUAAUUGUGUCAAAAUGGAGACGAGAGAGGUGGUCUGCCACAACAUUUUCUGUCCCUUUCUUAUCUUUGAACUUUAAGUCAAAUUCCUGCAAAAGUAACACCCAACGAAUUAGUCUAGCUUUUGCAUCUUUCUUUGUGAGAAGAUAUUUAAGAGCAGCAUGAUCUGUGAACACGAUUAUUUUAUAACCAAUGAGAUAAGAUUGAAAUUUCUCCAAUGCAAACACUAUUGCUAGCAUUUCUUUUUCAGUAGUUGAAUAGUUCAACUGUGCAUCAUUCAAUGUCAUACUAGCAUAAUAAAUAACAUGGGGAAUUCGAUCAACUCUUUGUCCUAAUACUGCUCCUACUGCAUAAUCAGAUGCAUCACACAUGAGUUCAAAUGGUAAGCUCCAGUUCGGGGCCUGAAUGAUGGGUGAUGAUGUCAACAACUGCUUUAAUUUUUCAAAAGCCACAAGACAUGAAUCAUUAAAGAUAAAAAGUACAUCCUUAGCAAGUAAAUUGCAUAAGGGUCUACAAACUUUGCUAAAAUCUUUAAUGAAACGUCUAUAAAAACCAGCAUGCCCAAGGAAAGAUCUUACUUCUCUGACUGUUUUGGGUGGAGGAAGAUUAGAAAUGAGAUCCACCUUGGCUUUGUCAACCUCAAUACCUUUGCUCGAAAUGAUGUGACCGAGAACAAUACCUUGUUUUACCAUAAAAUGGCAUUUCUCCCAAUUUAAGAUCAAGUUUUUCUCAAUACAUCUCUGUAGAACUAGUGUUAGAUAAUGUAAACAUUGAUCAAAUGAGUCACCAAAGACAGAAAAAUCAUCCAUAAAGACUUUAAGGAAUCGUUCAACCAUAUCAGAAAAAAUGCUCAACAUGCAUCGUUGAAAUGUAGCAGGUGCAUUACAUAAUCCAAAUGGCAUUCUCCUAUAUGCAAAUGUGCCAAAAGGGCAAGUGAAAGUAGUUUUCUCUUGAUCUUUUGGUGAUAUGAGAAUCUGAUUAUAUCCUGAGUAGCCAUCUAGAAAGCAAUAAAAUUCAUGUCCUGCUAAUCUAUCAAGCAUUUGAUCAAUAAAUGGUAAAGGAAAAUGGUCUUUACGUGUGACAGAAUUCAACUUUCUAUAAUCAAUGCAUACACGCCAUCCUGUAGUCACUCUAGUGGAUAUCAAUUCAUUAUCGGCAUUGGUAACUACUGUGACUCCUGACUUUUUGGGGACGACUUGUACAGGACUGACCCAUGAACUAUCAGAAAUUGGGUAAAUGAUACCAGCAUCUAAUAGCUUAAGGACUUCUGUUCUGACAACUUCUUUCAUAUUAGGAUUUAACCGACGUUGCAUUUCCCUAGUAGAUUUAGCAUUUUCAUCAAGGUGAAUGUAAUGCAUGCAGUCUACUGGGUUUAUACCUUUGAUGUCUGCUAUGGUCCAUCCUAAUGCCCCUUUAUGCCCUUUUAAAACAUCCAACAACUUACCUUUUUGUUCGUCAUUGAGGAAUGAUGAGAUGAUUACCGGCAGAGUACUUUCUUCCCCCAAAAAUGCAUAUUCCAAAGUGUUGGGUAAUGGUUUGAGCUCGAGUUUUGGUGGUGAUUCUGAUGAUGGGAUGAGUUUCUUCUCUGAUGGUGCUAGUUGUUCAACUCUUGACUUCCAUUUAUUAGUGUCCAUGGAUGGUGCUGAGUCAAGUAGGGCGUUGACCUCAUCGACCGAUCUGUCAAUAUCAAAAUCCAAACCAAAGUGAGUUAAACAUGUUUGUAAAGGAUCAUUACUAACGUUUGAAAGAAAAGUGUUAUCAACUAUUGUUUCAAUUAAAUCCACAUCAACAAUUCCAUCAUCUGCACUGUGAGGUUGUUUGGCAAUGUUGAAGAUGUUCAGCUCCAUAGUCAUGUUGCCGAAGGACAACUGCAUAUUUCCAGUCCUACAUUGAAUGUGAGCAUCGCAGUUGCCAAGAAAGGUCGGCCUAGAAUAAUGGGGAUGUGCUUCCUUGAAUCCUAUAUUGGUUGAGUAUCAAUUACAAUGAAAUCAACAGGAAAAUAAAACUUGUCUACCUGGAUAAGCACGUCCUCCACAAUACCACGAGGUAUUUUCGUGGACCGAUCUGCAAGCUGUAACACCACUAGAGUUGGGUGUAAUUCUCCCAAUCCAAGUUUCACAAAUACUGAAUAAGGCAACAAAUUUACACUAGCUCCUAAAUCCAACAAAGCAUUCUCAAUUGUGUGGUUCCCUAUACUACAUGAGAUAGUGGGGGAGCCUGAGUCUUUGCAUUUUAAAGGAAUUUUAUAUUGGAGUAUAGAACUAACGUUUUCUGUUAAAAAUGCCUUCUUUUGAACAUGCAUGUUUCUCUUUUUAGUACACAGGUCUUUAAGAAACUUGGCAUAAGAUGGAACUUGCUUAAUAACAUCAAGCAAAGGGAUGUUAACACUUACCUGUUUGAAGAUUUCGAGAAUCUCACCUGUGGAUUUUCCCUUCUUACCUUUAGCUAACCUCUGGGAGAAUGGAACUUUGGAAACGUAUUCUCGUGGGUUGGUUUUUUCUUCCUCCUCCAGUGAUGAGUCAUCAACACUCACAGGUACAAUUUGAUUUUCUUUUGUUACCGGCAUCUCCACUUUGUUGUCGACUUCUUUUCCUUUUUGUAAGGUCAUGACUGCUUUGACCUCUCCAUGCUGCUGUGGUGAACUGGUACUUGUUUCAUGUACUCCUUUAGGAUUAGGCACUGGUUGACUUGGAAAUUUGCCUUUCUCAACAGUCAUUGCCAAGGUCUGAACUGAAGAAUCAAGUUGUCCCACCAUCUUCUCGAGGCUUGAAACUGAUUGAGCUUGUGAGUUGAAGCCUGCUCUCAACUCAUUUCGUAGUCAUCAAUGGUGCGGUUCUGUUGCUCAAUCGUGGAGUGAGUAACAUUCCUGAAAUUCUAGAAUGCAUCCUCCCAUGGUCUAGGUUGAGAGUGGUUCUGGUUCUAAUUGUAUGGUCUAAAUGGUGGCUGAGAGGCUUGAGAAACUUGAGGAAUUUGUUGCAUUGGUGGAGCUGGAGCUGUGGUCCAUUCUGUUGGAAUCCUUGAGACCAUGAAAAAUUGGGGUGGUCUCUCCAUCCAGGAUUAUAUGUGUUGGAGUAUGGGUUGUAAUUUGAUGGUUUUCUCAUUAUACCUAUGGCAUUGGCUUGAUCUGAGUAUGAGUCAAGGUCAUGUGGUUCAGUUGAUUUAGCAGUCGAUAACGAUGCUAUUUGUCGAGCAAGACCUUCAACCAUCUCCUUGACUUCUUUGAUUCCUGAAGUUGAUUCGCCAAUGUGAACCUCAUUCACUCCUUUAAUUCUUCUAGUAUUCCUGAGUGAUCGACUCCGUUGUUGGGAAUUAUCCGCUUGUCGCUGGAAAAACUCCCAAAUUUCUGAUGCACUUUUUGACAUUAGCUCUCCUCCACUUGUUGCCAUUAGCCAUUCUUGCACAUUCGGCAAUAAUCCCUCUAAAACGUAUUGGCAUUGGUGCCAUUUCUCGUACCCAUGAUGUGGACAUUUCAAGAGUAGCCCAUUGAAUCGCUCCCAUGUUUCAAAAAACUGCUCGUCUUCUCUCUGAGUAAACUCUGAGAUUUCCCUGCGAAUAGCAUUGGUUUUAUGCACUGGAAAAUAUUUAUUCAAAAAUUUUUUUACCAUUUGUUCCCAUGAUGCAAUGCUAUUAGCAGGCAAUGUAUUAAGCCAUGAACGAGCUCUACCCUUUAAAGAAAAUGGGAAUAAUCUGAGUUUAACAUCAUCAUCUGAAAAAUUCUCAUAUUUAAAUGUUUGACAAAUUGCAUGAAAAUCAUUCAAAUGAUUAUAUGGGUCCUCAUUUUCUAGGCCAUAGAAUGUGGGGAUACAAUUUAGCACACUAGGUUUUAGUUCAAAACUCCUAGCAGCUACAUUUGGGUAUCUUAUGCAUGAUGUGCUCAAAUUAGCUAAGGGACUAAAAUAGUCCUUAAAUGGCCUCUCCUGUGAUGCUUGUAAAUCCAUUUUAUUUUUAAUUUGUUUGUGUGUGCGAAGUGUUUUUUCUAAUUCAAGGUCUAUAGGUUCAAGAUUAGGUAAUAAUGACCUACGACCAUGCAUGCAAAAAAAAAAAGGAUGAGAAUAAAACAAAUAAAAAUAAAGAAGAGGGAGAAAUUACGAUACUAACCUUAUUGCGCUAUUAAAACCUUUCUAUAAAAAUACACAAAAACAAAUACGUGAAAUUAAAUUAACUAAAAAUAAAUUAAUAAGAUAAACAACAACAACAAAAAUUCAAUUGAAAAUUAAAUUACAGAAUUUUAAAGAAGAGAAAAAGAAAAGAAAUACUAACCUUUAAAUGUAGAUUCACUUUUUUUUCUUUUUUUUAAUUAAAAAAAUACAAGAAAACAAAUAAAAGAAAUUAUUCACAAAAAUUAAUUCUAUGAAUCAAAAUUACUUACCUCCCCGGCAACGGCGCCAAAAACUUGUUGUGCAAAUUUUAAUGUACUCGCAAGCGCACGAAUCUAUUGUAGUAUAGACUAAUGGUGACGAGUGUCGAUCCCACGAGGAGGUGGAUUUUAAUUAUAUGUAGAAUUAAUUUUGUAAAUGAGUGGUUGGAUUUAUGGUGGAAACGAUUUGGAAUAUGCUAAGACUUAAAUUAAAAUGGCGAGAAUAAAUUCUAAAAUUGGAAUUGCAAUAGAGAGAAUAAAUUGAAGAGAAAAUCUAUUAAAUUGACGUAUUUGGGUAUCUGGAUCCGUAUCAACAUGCAUCAUGGGCUAAAUAAUCCGUAUUAAUGCCAAUUAAAUCAUGAGGGGGGAAAUCCACACCUCAUGAACCACGCUCUAAUCAAUAUGGUGCUAAGGGCUUAUCGUGCCAAAUAAUAAUAACCUUGUACUAGAGGGCCGGUGAAACCAAGGCGGUACUAGACAAAAAUAUUAUUAUUUGUCGACGAGAAGUCAAAACAUCCACAAAAACUAGAGGGGAAGAGAAAAUAAAUUUACCAAAUUAAGCCCAUGACACAUGUUGAGACUUCUCCUUCAACCCAAGCUUGAAAGAAAAUUAGCCACUCAUAAUUGAACUAGGGGCAAAAUGAGAAUUUAUUAAAAUAUGAAGAAAAUACAAGAUGGAGAGGGAAUUACAGAAAAUGGAGUCCAAAAAUGGAUUCAGAGAUAUCAAAUUAGGGGGGAGAGGCCCCCUUUUUAUAGAUACAUGGAGUAAAUCAUGGCUAUCGGAUUAAAAACAAUUUGGACGCUCAGGAUUGCACCACGUCAUCAGUCAACAAUCCACGGUUUGACCACGUGGAUGAACAGUAACACGGUUUGACCCGACUUUGAACAGUAACGCGGUUUGACCGAGAUGAACAGUAACGCGGUUUGGUUGAAAAUAAUCCUGUGUAAUGCAUGCACCGUACGCGAGAUUUUUCAUCCACUGAUAUGCUGCCACAUCACCAUCAACAGUACAUAAGAAUUUUAGUCCAACAGGAUCGUGACACCUCAUCAGUCAAUGCCACAUCAUCGGUCAAUGCUACGUCAUCAUCCGUCUAUGUGAACAGUGUCGUGAACAGUAACGUAUAUAGUACCGUACACGUUAAUAGUACCGUACAUGUGAAUAGUGCUAUUUUUCUUUUUAUGCUCCUCCUAAGGUUUUUGACCGUCCUGAGUUCAAAAGUGAUGUCUGUUUUGCCGUCUGAUUUCUCCUUUAUUGUGAAAUGACUAUAAUGCCCCUAAAAUACAUAAAAUACUUAAUUAAAAUAAAACACAUGUAAUUAAAUCACAAGAAGGUUAAAUACAUAAAAGUAAGGGUUGUUAGUAAGACUUGAAAUGUAAAAUGACGGUUUUCUCCUUUAUAAAUAUGCAUUUUCUAACACUCAACACUAAGCUGGAUUCUAGUCUUCGUUUUUUCUCAGAAUUUUUCAAUUGGUUUUUUUUUCCACUCUUGUCACCUUGCUAAGUGAGACAUUUCUCUCCCACCUUCAUUGUCCUCCCUCAUUCAUCCAUCCAUUCAUUUCAACCGACAAAAAAAGAAAACUACUAUAGAAUUAAAUUCAAAUGAUUCAAAAUUAAAAAUUAACACAAAGCAUAAAAUUAAAAUUAACACAAAGUUUAAAUUUAAUAGUUUCCAUCCAAAGCGCAGUGUCCAACAUAUAAUAUGAAAUUAUAAAUAAUAAUAUCUAUUAAGAAUUACCUUUCAAAUAUCCAUAGCACCCAUAUCAGCGCUCACUGUUUCCACCGUUGAAGCUUGUGAUCUUACAAACUCUUUAAAAUGUCAAAAAAAAUGAAAUUAGUAAGUAACUUAAGUACAUGUAGAUGCUAUUUAUAAAGUUAUAAUACAUCUUAACUUUAUAAAGUAUGAGAAAAAUAUUACCUUCUUGUAGCUCUAUAUGGAAUAUCUGCUCUUUAAUAUCUUCCUGAAGGUUGUAGACAGGAUUAGCAAAAAGUUUAGCUUGUAACCAAUUUUCGGUACAUAUCAAUGCCUCAAUCAUACAAGGGGUCAAAGAACUCCGAUAUUCGUCAAUGACGCGAUGCCCUGUGCUAAAGGCAGAUUUAGAUACCACUGUGGAAACAGGAACAUCGAGGACAUCCCUUGCAAUUUUCUCUAAUAUCGGAUACUUCGAUCCAUUAACCUUCCACCAAAGCAAAACAUUGAGCUUAAGAUUGCUCGGAUCUUCAACUGGGUCACUCAAAUAUCGUUCCACCUCAGAUACUACUCUCUUGCCCUUAUUCUAAACAAACACUUUUUGAGUAUACCCAAAGAAAGGGCGAGAAACUCAGAAAAUGUCAUCACCAUCACCACUAGGACCCUCCGGCAAACCAACCUCAGUUGUAAAAUAAGGAGAAUAACUUGUACCACCAUAGCUGCCGCUAGGAACACUCUCACUACACAUCGAUGGGUGGAAUUAUAGCACAUUGCACUAUAUGCAUCAUAAAGCUCAUUCAACAAAUCUUUUACUGCUUUGGUCAUUUCUUCAACUUUCCAACCAUCAUUGGCAAAAAUGAUCUCAAAAAUAUGUUUGGCAAAGUCCAUUUUAGCUCGUGGAUCAAGAAUAGAGGUAACAAUCAACAUUUUAUUUAUCUUCCCUGAAGACUCUCAAUAUUUAUCAAAUUUUUCCCUCAUAUGAUCAGCCAUAGCCACCACCCAAGGAUCUUUACUUGCCUCUAAUGCAGUCAAUGAGCUCUCAAUUAAGCCAAUGGUAUCAUAACAAAGAUUAGAAGUUACACUCAAAGAGGCAGAAAAUAACAAUGUGGCACCAUAAAAUACCUUCAAAAACUUCACAAUUCGUCAUGCAUUCUCCCAAUCCUCAGGUUCAGACUGGCCCAUCCUCUUAGCGUUAUUUUCUUUCUCGAGAAAGUAUGCCUCAUACGGUUUAUCCACCUCUGCCAUUCUAUCAAAUGCUGCUUGAAACUUCAACGCAGUCAUCAACAUUAAAUAGGUGGAAUUCCACUUAGUAGGACAAUCCAAAACAACCGUUCCAUUUGGACAUUUCACCUGUUGAGCACACUGUUUAAAUGUCUGUAGCCUCGUAGUGGAGGAUCUCACAUACUUCACAACAUUCUGGAUGGCGGCAACACUAGCAUGCAAUUCAUUCAACCCUGAAACAACAAUCAAGUUCAAAAUAUGUGCACAACAACGCAUAUGCAUAUACUGACCUGCCAAUACAAUUGCACCAUCAUUCCUCCAAGCAAGUAAUUGUAUAGUCAUAUAAUUAACAACAACAUCAUUUGUACUGGCAUUAUCAACAGUUAUUGCAAACAACCUCUCUAUCCCCCAAUCUUGUAAAUAAGCUACAAUCUUUUUGCCGAUCGUUUUCCCUCUAUGAUCUUCAAUCACACUGAAACUAAUAAUCCUUCUGUUCAAACACCAGUCACUAUCAAUAAAAUGAGCUGUGAUCACCGUGUAACUCAUGUUUUGAAUAGAAGUUCAUAAAUCAGUGGUAAGAGACACUCGUUGUUUGUUAUUGCAAAUCAAACUCUUCAACAUUGUCUUUUCUUUCAAAAAUAAAUCCAUAACAUCCCUACCAAUAGUUCUCCAAGAUGGCAUAAUAAACCGCGGAAUUGCUACACUACAGAAAUGCCUAAACCCUUUGUUAUCCACAAAACUAAGUGGCAACUCACCCAUAAUGAUCAUUUUUGUGAUUGCCCUUCUACAAGCGUCUUGACUCCACCCUUUAGCUAAAACCAUAUUACUUGUAUUUUCUUCCCCACCCUCAGUUGUCAAGUUUUGUUGACUUCCCUCUUGUUGUUCCCGGAAUGUCUUGUAUGCAAGGUAAACCAGUAUAUGAUUUCUCAUAUUUGUAAUCCAAUCACGCCUUGAAUGACAUUGAUAUUGUCUACCACAAUAGUUUCACUUGCAUUUGUUUGGAUUGUCUUCAAGUAAAGUAAAAUGAUUCCACGUCACAGAUCUUUUCUUCAUCACUGGUCUUUUCCGCUUUGCCUUUUGCGUUCCUUCCAUUUGAACACUUUGAUUGUCAUCAUCACUUAUUGAAUUCGAUCUUGAGUGUCCAAACAUCUAAACAUAUAAAUAAAUAAUUAUUAAUCAUUAAUUCAUAAAUUAAAACAAAAAAGACUAUUAAAAAAAUCUACUUAAUAGUUAGUAUUACAAAUUGAUUCAAAUAAUUGUUAAUUUAAUUUUAUGAAACUUUAUGAAAUCGAUAUUUCCAAUUUUCCACCAUAAUGUUUAUAUAUGAUCAAGAAUUCAAGAUGCAUAUUCCAUAAAAGAAAACCUAGAAAUUAAUGUAAUUAUUUAAUUUAUAAUAUCUAAUUAUCCAUUGGCCAAAAUAAUAUAAUAUUAAUUACAUAUCCAUAUCUUAAAUUCUUAAUUCUUAUUAUGCCCACAUUAUAUGUACUUAAUCACUUAAUAUUUACUUCUUGGUUAUCAUGAAAUUAAUUAAAUUGAUUAAUUAUUUGUUGAAGUUGAAACUUGAAACUACUGCAAUUAAAUUGGUUAAUUUUUGGUUGAAGUUGAAACUAUUGUACAAGUACACAUAUCAUAUGACAUAUAUAAUUAUAAUUCAUAUUGUAACAUAAUAUUUAAUUUUAAUUUUUAAUCUAACAUUACUAUUCAUACAAAAAAUCAAUUAUUAAUAAGUAACAGAAAAUUAAUGCCAGAUUAUUUUCAUUUUAUUGAUAAAAUUUAACAAUUAUAAUUAACAUACAAAGUUACAAUUGACAUUUCUCAUAUAACAAAUAACAAUUAUAAUUAAUCAUUAAUGCAUAUAUAAUUAUAUAUUAUAUUAAUACCAUCUCUUGAAUAAGUAUAAAGGUUAGAUUUGCUGAUUCAGGCUUCCAAGUUCCAAACUUCCAAUUUCCAAAACAGAGAGUGAAGAGACUUUUUGAGACUGGAGCCAUGACCCGUGAGGCGUGACCGUGAAUGGGUGUAGUGGCCGAAUGUCAACACUCAACAGUCGUGACCCGUGAAUGCCUAUGGUGGAGACUGGAGUGGAUUGGAGGCAGCUUGCCGGGUGGAUCUUCAAUCGGACUGAGUGAUGGUGGAGUGGAGGAUUCAAGGCGUGGAUCCGGCGCUUGGUUGCAACAGAUCUGUAGAUCGGGUCACGAUCUUCGCGAAUCAGCUUCGACUUCGGUUGGCGUCGUUCUCGGCAGCGGUUGCUGCGUGUAGUGGCCGGAUGAAGCUACCUUCGUGAACUGUGGGUGUGUGUUUGCUGCGUUUGGUGAGCAACGGUGGCCGUGAGGCGUGAAUGGGUGUGGGUUGGCUGGUUGUGCUUGACGGCUUGAGUGCUGGUUUCAGUGGUUUGUGUGUAACAGUGAGGGUUUGUGAUACUGUGAGGUGGUGAGUGUCUGAGUGAGUGAGGGUUUGUGAGUUGUUACUUUGCUUGUGUUCUUUUCUUUGUGAAUUACUGAAUUGUUUUGUUGCGGUGAAUAGUUUGGAGUGAAUACUGACUUUGUGAAUUACUAAAUUGUGUGGUGAAUACUCUGAGACUGUGAGUCUGUGAGAGUGUGAGUGUGUGAUACUGCAAAUCCGUGAAUGUGUGACACUGUGAUCUGUAUUCUGUGAGUUACUAAUUUAGUGAUUGUGUCGUGUACUCAUGUGAGUUUAUCAUGUGUGUGAUACUGUAAUUUUUGCCAAAAUUCUUUUUUUUUUGUCUCAACCCGAUCGGGUUUUCGGAUCGGAUCGGGUGAAACCCGAUCCGAUCAUAAUCCAAUCGGGUUGAGACAAUUUCACCCGAUCAGGUUUUGUUCACCAUCUGAUCCGAUCCAAACCCGAAAUUUUUCGGAUCUAGUCGGAUAUUUUGCCCACCCCUAGUAUAAAUUAAAUGAGAGGUAAGCUAUUCAAGUAGGCAUUUAUUUGGAUCGACUGCAUGCAAAAUAAAAAUAAUGAUAGUCUGCUUGUAAUAUUCCCAUUAUUUAAUUUUACUAAUUUAUAAAAUUAUUGUAGUAAGCUGUGGAUAUCCGAAUUUUAUAAAUUUCACACUCACUCUUUUAUAGCACUGGAAGGCGUAAAGUAGCAAUACAAUAUAACAAAGGCCCUUGAUACACCAAAGGGCUCGUAGCCUAUUGACAACCCAUGUGCCCAAUUGGAUUCGAGUUCCAAUAAUAGCUAGGAUUUGAUUUCGCUCAUAGAAGGGUAUGAUGAUGUAGCAUUGAUCGAUGACAUGGUAACAUCGUAGUAGAGCAAUUCAUUGACCGAUGAUGUGACAUUGACCGAUGAUGUGACGUUAACCAAUUAUGUGGCAUUGACCGAUGAUGUGGUAGGAUGCUAUUGUACCAAAAUACUAAUGUGGCAUUGACCUAUGAUGUAGUAGCAUAUUAUUGGACCGAAAUGUUGAUCUGGUGUUGACUGAUGAUGUGUUCCAACCAAUUAAAGCUUAUCACGUUGCCCAAUCCUAAGCGUCUGAAUUAUUUUCAUCUGAUAACCAUGAUUUACCUAUUGUAUCUAUAAAUAAAGGGCUCUCCCCUAAUUUGAUGCCCCUGAAUUUAUUUUUUAGCUCUAUUUUCUAUAAUUCUUUCUCUAUCUUGCAUUCUCUAUGUAUUUUAAUAAAAUUAUCAUUUUACCCCUAAUUCAAUUGUGAGUGGCCAAUUUAGUUUUAAGCUUGGGUUGAAGGUGAAAUCUCAACAUGAUCUAUGUGUUUAAUUAGGUGAGUUUAUUUUAUUUUUCUCUCUGAUUUAUGUGGUUGUUUUGACUCAUUGUUGACAGAUAACAUAUCAUGUCUAGAUUUUGCAAGGUAUAUCGGCUCCCUAGCGACGGACCAUUACUGUCUAGCACAAUAAGCACUUAGCACCAUAUUAAUUAGCAAAAAAUUCCCCUCUAGUAUUCUGUAGGUCGUCUUGACUGAGUCUCCACAGAGAGUGUAUCUAAGCUACUUAGUGGAUGAUCUUACCACGUUGUCAACAAAAGGAUUAUUAUUGUCUGGCACAGUAUGUUCUUUAUACCACACUUAGUGGAAAAUCAUUACCUCUAGCACAUUGAGCACUUGAUACCAUAUUUAUUAGAGUGAGAAUUAUGAGGAAUGGAAAUAUCCACCUCAUAAAUUAAUUAGAACUAAAAAGGAAAUAUUAAGCGCAUGGUGAAUGUUGAGUGUGAAUUUAAAGACUCAAGCAUUUCAUUUGCAUUGAUUUCAUCCUUAAUACAUUUCUGCCUUUUAAUUUUAAUGUUAAGAUAAAAAAGAAUCCACUUUCAACCAACUCACAUUUACACCCAAAAAAUUAACCCUACACAUAAUUAAAUCUACCACCUCGUGAGAUCGACACUUGUCACCACAAAAUCUAUUUUACAAUAGAUUUGUGCGCUUGCGAGUAUAAUAAAAUUUGCACAACAUCUCUGCUGCAAUAAUACAAUUCUCAUACUGUAGCGGCGACUACUUGAAUAGAUGAACCAACUGAAGAAAGUACAGUAGUAGAGGAAUGGGGUGAGGAAUCAGAAGAAGAGUAGCACCUAGAGAAGGACAAAGUUGAAGUUGAAGAAGAAGAAAAAGAAGAAGAAGAAAGUGAAGGGGAUGAAAAUGCAAAAGAGACAGAGGAUGAAAAGGAAGGGGAUAAAAACAAAGGAAAGUAGAAAAUCAUGCUUGAUAAAGAUUCAGAUGAAAAAGAAGAAGAAGAAGAUGAUAUGUCUAUUGAAGAGGUCAUCAACAGGGCUGCAAGAAUAGAAGAAGAAAAUAAGAGCUUGAAGGAGCUCAUUACUAGCACAACUAUUAAGCAAUUAACAGCAUCUCCUCGACCAUCUACGACAAACAAGACCCCAAGAAGUCUCCUGCCACAACUCCCAGAGUUUCCAGUAAGAGAAUAAGGGCACAAAUCUCUAGAGGUGCUGCACCAUCACAAACACCAAAGAACCAGAACAAAUGAAAACAAAGCCCAAUCUGCUUAAAUUUGAAGAAGUUGCUGGAACUUUACAAAUCAGUCCAAGCAAAGGCAAAAAGAAAGUGAACCUGCACAAAGAGUGUUGUAGCAUUAUCUUCAAUAACAGGGGAAUAUCCCCAGCCUAUUCAAGUUUAUUUUACAAAUUAGUAGUUUAGAAACUAUUGCAAACUGUGUAGGAAAUAAAAUAAAUUUUGGUCUAAUGGCUAAGCUAAAAAAUUUGAUGCUUAAGUGAUGUUGCAUCAAUUCUACAACUUGAUCAAAGUGAAACAUGCACACACUGGACAUAAUAAAACCAAAGUCUAGAACUAGAAUUGUUAAUGGUAACUUAGCAUGUUUAAGAGUGAAGUUUAAGGGUUGAUCAAUUAGAGCAAUCUAGAUAACAAAGCUAAGUUGUUUAUUGCAUGAUUGUGUGAUUAAAAUGUUAGUGUUGUUAUUACUUGAGGACAAGUAAUGGUUUAAGUUUGGGGUGUGAUAACUCUAUGAAAUGAGAGUUAUCAUAACAUUUAUAGACCUAAACUAAUAUUACUUAGAGAAUUAAUGAUGAGUUUUUAUCCCAUUUUUAGUAAAUUGUGCAUGGAGUAUCUAUUUCAUGUGUUUUAGAUCAUUUUUAGCUUUGAUUAAAUGUGACAUUAUAGGCAACCCAAAAGCUCAUGCCUUGUUGAUAAAUGUUGUAGAAGGAUUACAUUGCUGUAGCAACAAACUUGCAAAAACGACAAAAGACUUAUCUGCAUAUGAACAAAAACAAGUCUAAACUAGGGGAAAUGCUAGAGCAAUUUCUAUAGCAAUCUAAGACCAAGUACAAACAAAACUGUCUGGGUUGUACACAUGCUAUCUAAUAGAUUCUGCUAAAGUCGUUAUUGCACUACCACUAUUAGGUGCAGGAAAAAUGGCAGACGUGGCGAGUAGCACAAAAAGAAAUGUGGUCCUAAAAUACCAAGAACGGACAAGUGUCCUCAUGCCCUUUUUGGGCUGCCCUAAUUCCAAGAUAUAAAAGGACACAUUUUAAGGAAACAAAAGAGGUAUUUUUCGUCAACACAAAAAAAAAAAAAGACAAAGACACAAAGGAAUUUCAAAGCUAAAACAGAGGGUAUUUCGUGGAGAAGAAGGAGAGAACUUGAAAACUAAAGCAUGACACCUUGAUCCUUUUGCAUCUCAACUUCAUUCUUAUAUUUGGUUUAUUGUAUUUUCUCUUGAAUGAUGUGUUUCAUGGCACAUACUUAUGUUUUUAGUGUUUUAAAGCUCAUCAUGAGCUAAACUUUAAUGUAGUUGGGUUUUGAAUGAGCUUAAUAGUUAUUUGACUUAUAUAUAUGUAUGUUGCUUAGAAUCUAACUAUGUCAUUUUGUCUUGAUUUUACAUAUAGCAAAUUCUUAUUUCGGUUGACCACCCGUUUAGUGGAUACUAGCUAAGAAAGAGCCUAAAAAAUGCCUGAUUUAGUGGAACAAAUUAAAACAAUAGAUGGUUUUAAAUUGGGUUUCCCAAGUUGAGUAAAUCUCAAUUUGAAUAGAGUCAUACUUAAUCUAAAAUUAGUGAAGAACUAGAUAUAAAGAUCACUUUGUAGGGCAAAUAGAGUCUAUAUCGUAUACUGCUAUGUUUAAUGUUAAUUUAACAACUAGUUAUUGUUAGAUUGUAUACAAACAUAAGAUAUCCAACAUGCGACAGUUGAUGAUACAUUAGAGAUUUUGUCUAGUGUUUUAGUAGAUGAUGUAGCAACCACACCUCAAGUGUAAAACCGCCAAUAACCAUUAAGUAAGUUUAGUACCCAACUACCCCUUUAUCAUUAAAGUAUAUCUUUGUGUUUGACGUUAAUUCCCCCUAAUUGCAUUCUGUUUGUUGUAUUUUUUUAGUUUCAUUAGAUCAUUAAUCUCAACAUUUAUUUUAUUUUAUUUCGUUUAGUAAAGUUGCACUAUUAAGAUUACUGUAGCAAAUCCUAUAAUAUCAAUUUAUGUGAAGACGAUCUUGAUUCUCAUCAUUAUAUUACUUGUUGUGUACACUUGCACGUUAACACCUUAACACACACACCAUUGAGAUUUUUUUUUUCCUUUUCUCCUUUUUCCUCAUCUUUCAUAAAUUGGCCUAAUGUCUGAAUUACAUGGACCAUAUUUUUUCCCAUUUUUCUUUAUACCCAACUACCUCUAGAAUAUGCAAUUUCUAUGGGGUACAAUUCAUGUCUCAUAUUGAACCAGGUCAUCUAGCAGCCACUAGGAAAUGUCUUAUUUGCAAUAAGAAUUUCUAAGGAUAUGUUCUUCUUUAGUAUGAUUUUAUUUAAGAAAUAAAUAAUUUUUCUUUUGGAACUUGACUUAUUUAAGGAGAAAUACAACUAGUAUAAGAAAAAGAAUACUUCUCCUACAAGAAAUAAUCACUAUAUAUUAGAUUCACUUGUUUGUAUAAUACAACAAUUAGUUCUCUGUACAUAAAUAUUUUCUAAUGUGAGAAAAACGGUAGAUCUAUUGCGAGAUUCGAUAUUAUUGAGACUUUGGGUGUGAAAUAAAUGAUAGAAUGAUUAUAAUAUUUUUUCACAUAAAUUACUGUGUUGUGUGAUUGAAUUUAUUUUUUAUUUAAUUUUUUAUUAUUUAUUUAAUAUUUUUUCUUAUAAGAUCUUGGGUGGGAAUCAAUUUCUCUAACAAUAACCGAUGAGAAUACAACAAUGAUUUUGUACAAUGUCAUUGUAUAAAUUAUUUUUUACGUUGAUACUCUCACAUGCGAUGUUAAUUGCGAGAAAUGGCCGACACAAUAAUUUUUCCUUUUUGUAUUUUUAUUAUUAUUAUUAUUAUUUUUAACACUUCACAUAACAACCGCUCAAGUCUAUGCAAAAGUCGAGGAAAUUUUUCCACGUAUAAAACAAAAAAGCCGAUAAUGCAAGAUCACAAUUGGUUCGUAAUGAUAUAUCAGUGGCUCCACGUGGAAAGGAGAUAACGCUAGAUGUCAGAUGACUGUGUUUGUGUUUUAUGAAUGAUAAAGGAGCCAUCUGACUCUGUGGUGUAGAUUCAAUGAGCUAUUUCGUCAUGCUUUUCUUAUUGCACCUUGUUAUGUUACGUUAGCUAUAACAUACAAUCACCCAAAAUUAAUUUUUUUAUAUUUUUAAUUGUUGUUAUUCAAACAAUUUGAAAAUUGUGAAAAAUCAGUUUAGGUGAGCUGUAGCAGCAUCCCAUCUUAUUUCACUUAUUUACGUCUAAUACGAGAACUGAUUUGGAUGAGAGCGACUUUAGAGAAUUAUUAGUUUGUAUGAUUGUCCCACACCCAAAAUAUACGCACCAGCAAUUUAACGUAGAAAUGAUAGGCAUAACAAAUACACAGAGCUAGAGUCGGGUUCCAAAUGUUGAAAGGACUGAUAUUAAUUACACAACCCAAGUGUUAAAAUUUAAAGAUUGAUUAAACAAGCCAAUCAACCUCCGCGUAUCUUAAUUCUGGGUAACGCAAACCGUUUGCCCACCCCUAAUUUUUAUUUUUAUGAGGGGAAAAAUGUUAUCCACUUUUAGCCUUCCGCUUUCAGCAAUCUAUCUUAAUUUAACAGGCAAGAGCUAUAAUAUUAGCUAAACAGUACAGGCGGCGCGGCCUCCCGCCGGGGGAGGGGGGGGUGUUGCUAGCCUUUGCAAGAAACAAUCUCUCUACAGGUUACCUAACAGGCUACAAUAGGAACAGAAUUUUCUUAAUUACAAUCGACUGGGUGUAUUGUGGCGAUUUUUUUGAGUAAUAUAUCUGGAAGUGCCCUUGAAUAUUCCUUUUUAACACCAUUUCGAACACAACUAGUGCAUUCCAAUAACCCUUACCCGGAAGUCAUGGAUGUUUGGAGUAAUUUGUCCCUCAUAAAUGUAUGCUGUUUUGUCAAAGCAUGCAUGGAUCGUGCUCCUUAAUAAAACCAUAAUGAUGUUACAGUUUUCCACUUUACGAUUUAUCAUGAAUAACAAUAUUUAUUGUCCAAAAUCAUUAAAAUUAACUCUUUGAUUGGUGAUAUGAUUAGGUAGCUAUAACUAAAAGGUUACUACAAUAAAAUAUUUGGUAAUCAAUGAUUACUGUAGUGUGGAAGCUAAGUUGAUGUGACACUAUACUUGUAUUAUGAAAAAUCUAUAAUAUCUUUAAUAUUUUUUUCAAGCUUAUUAUUCAAAAUUAUGUUUAUUACACAUUAUUUCACAACAAUUACAGUACUUCAAUAACCAAGGAAGCUUAAAUUUCUAAUAAUUAGAGAAUGUAUGCAAUACCUAUCAGAUAAACUAAAAGACAAUGUAAUAAAAGAAAAAUUGGACGGACCGUGUUUCGGCAAGUCGUUGGAAAGUAGUUCCCAGAUCUGACAAGUUUAAGAUCUCGGUGGUCUUGCGAGAGCAUGGUUGAUAAACUACUAUUGUAGUUUUCUUUAGGAACUCCCCCAGCUAUCAGGCUUAUAAUACAACGAAGACGGUGGAUAUUUCCACUUGUUGGGUAAAAGAUAAUAAGCCUAAUGAAUUCACUACAAAGGUAGCCAACAGUCCAAUAAAUUAAUUGGAGAAUGCAUGUUUCAUCUAAUAAAUGUCAUAUUUCUAUUUACAUCCUUACUAGAUUUUUAGUUACCUUAUUCAUCCUUCUGGUUUAAGAGAUAACACAUAAAGUCAACAUUUUUUUUUUGUUUAUUUACCACUCACUCCUCUAGAAGAUUAUAUGACAUUUCUAAGUAGUUCGGUGUCAAAAUUAAAGAGAAGAUGAAAAUGAUUAGUCCUAUAAAAUUAAUAAAAGAACAUUCACAGUUUUUCAUUUUUUGCUUAUCCCAAUUACUUACAUUAUAUUUUAAUUUAAAAUUUAAAAAUAUUACAAAAUUUUGCCCUUAUUUUCAUAAUUCAUUUUGUUAUUUCUUAAUGGAAGGGAUAAAAAAAGUAAGUAAAAAUCUACUAGGGAUAUAUAAGUGGUAAAUAGGUAUGGCAAUUCAACCCACACCCGGCCCGGACCUGGAAGAAACCCAGAUUUUCCAGUCCGGGUUCAACCCGUACCGGAUUAAAUAAAACUCGGAUCCGGAUAUCAUUUUAAAAAUCCGCAUGUGUCUGGGUCCGGUUCCAGGUUUAGGUAAACUCGUACAUCCGGAACCCAGACCUGGAUAUAUAUUAAUUUUUAAAAAUUGUUUUUAAUAUAAAUAGGAAAGCAAAAAAACCCAAAUGGUGCCCUAGCAGCUCAUUACACUUUCCCAGCCGCACAAACAUUUCCUCUCUUAUUCCCUCUUCAACUCAUCUUCAUCUUCAUCAAAUCAUCGUCGCAUCACUUGCCCAUCUUCACAGUUGUUCAACAUCAUCAUCAUCAGCCGCCGUCACUUUCAAGAAUGAUACUCGAAAAUAUUUUGAUGGGAAUCUUGUUUUUGGUCAUUUUAGUAACAAUGUGUGCGAGUGCGAGUGAGAGAGAGAGAGAGAACGUGGCUUACUCGAUGCCACUUAUCAUGCUUUCAUCUUUUUUCAUCCAGUGCGGGGUGGUGUGGUGGUGUCUGUCUUUGUUGGCUUUUUGGAAAACUUGUUGCUUUUAAUGGUGUAUUACUUCUUCUGAAUAUCCAAUCAAUGUAAACUUAUUUGCAUUACCCCUCCAGCUUUCCCAUCACCAUUAAAAGUGCUUUGGCUGCUCCUUAACUCCUGACUUCCUGCUCCCAACUAAAGCUAGUUCUUUAGCUCUCUUUACUAAUGUUUUGAACGAGCUGCCACAUUGGGUUGCUGAUUCUGGGCAACCAAACAAAAUUGUUGUUUUUGUUAAUUAGUUUCCAGAUGAAAUAAUUUUUCUUUGAUUUGCUGAAAUCCUAGAUAUGUAUUUCUAUUUGAUUUUUUUAGUCGAAUUUAGUUUUUUUUUUCAAUUGGAUUCAUGAAUCCGGGUUGGAAACCCGCAGUCCGGGAACCCGAAUUGUUCCGGGUUGAACCCGUACUGGACCCGGAGUGGAAAAAUGCGAGUUUAUUUCCAGGUCCGGUACAGAAAAUAUUCGUCCGGGUCCGGAUCCGGAAUGGUUAAACCCGGACCCAGACCCGGACCCGGAUUUUGCCAUCCCUAGUGGUAAAUACAACAUCUUAUCAUUGUUGAAACUAGGGAUGACAAAAUCCUCCACGGGUUUGGGCUCCCAUGGAGCCCCACUCCAAAUUGAGAAAAUGUUUAAUAAUUUUUGGGGAAUGGGGUGGGGAGUGGGGAAAAAAUAAUCCCCAAAUUAUUAACAGGGUGGGGUUUGGUAUUGCACUCCCCACCCCACCCCCACCCCAAUCCCCAUUAUAUAUAAAUACGUUUUUAAUUCUUAUUUAAUGAUUUUUGUUUUAUCAACUAUAAUGUCAAUUAAUAAUUUUUUUAAUUUUUAUGUAAUAUAACAGAAUAUGAGUAAAAGAAAACCCUACAAUAUUUUUCAACUUUAAAACAUUAUUAUAUUUUAUUUUCUCUUUUAAGAUGCUGCUCUCUUUAAAUAUUUUUCACUUUUAAUAUCAUUUUAAGAUAUUGUUUCAAAUUUUUAGAGAUUUUAAAAAAAAAUUAAAUACUUUAUAAUAUGGUGAUGAUUUUAUUUUAAGUCGCUAAUUUUUAAUUUACUGAAAUCAUAUUUUUAUAUCCACUAUAAAAUAAGUAAAUAAGGACUGGGGUGAGGAUGGGGGAAUCAUUCCCCACGUGGAGAUUCCCCAUCCCCGACCCACUAAAUUUAUUAGGGAAUGGAGGCAAAAAAUUUUAAUGCGGUGGGGAAUGUGAUGAGCAUAUAAUACAUGCUUAUUUUACCCUUAAUUAAAUAAUUGUUAGUUAUAUUUAUUUUUUAUUUUUAAUUAAUUGAAUUGUUUUAUUGAAUAGGAAAUUAAUUGGAGAUUACGGAUAAAAAGGGCACAAAGGAGUUCAAUUUGUGAGCAUUAAAGAUUAAUUAACUUGGAAGCAAUUAUGCUUAUAUGCAUGUUAAUUCAAGCCAAGGAAACCGAACUCAACAAAUGCAUUCACCAUCCACGUGCAAACAAAGAAGAAGGUUAAAGCUAAAGUGGGCAGCACAUAAAAACAAAGCUUUUAAUUAAGCCUUUGAAUGGAAAGUCAAAGUAGAAUAAAGGAAGGAAAUCAAUAGCUUUUGGCUUUUAUUGUUUUCAAUUACGUGGCAAGCUUAGGGCUUUAGAUUGUAAAAGUUGGUUUAGUUAUUAGAAUCACAAUAGGAUUCGGUGGCCAAGCAAUAUAAAAGGGAGUUUUGCUUUUGAAUUAAAAGAGCAGCUGGACGGAAACAAAAGGGUGCAGACGCAAGGUUGGGAGAGAGUAUUCGGCAGCAGCAGCAAUUCAGCUUCCAUGGCUUAUUUUAUUUCUUGUGUUGCCUCAAUUCAAGUAUGUCUAGCUAAUUUUCUUAUACUGAGGUUAAGGAUGAAACCCUAUUCAAUAAAAUAAUUAUCUUUUUAUUUAAUUAAUUCCUUAUAUAUGUUCUUUAAUGAUUAUGGUUUUUAUUUCACAUGAUUAAUUGGAUGUUAUUAAAAUCUUUUCAUCAAUUCUGUCAUGCAUUAUUGAUUGUUAGGAUUAAUAUUUGAUUAAAUCUAUGCUUGGAUCUAUAAAGUUUAUACAUGAUUGUCUUUGAUUUUAUGUCUUUUAUUAAAUUGUUUACAUAGAGUGCUUAGGGAAACUUUGACUCUUUGUUAUUCAAUAUGUUUACAUGGGAUGCUUAGAUAUCAUAUUAUUAAGCAGAAAAAGAACCUACACAAGAUUAAUUUUAUUUGAGCUUAAUUGUUAUAUCCAUGAGAUGACAUAGAUUGAUUUCGAGUUGUCACUCUAAAAUUGGGGAUUAAUUAAUAAUUAGAUAAUUACUAGUUGAAUAGUAGUGGAUUCUGAAACCUUGGUAAUUUCUAUCCUAUUGAAUUAUCCUUUAUUUUAAUUGUUUUCUUAGCUUAAUUAGUUUAAUUUCUCUUAAAACUCAAUUUGGUCAACUAGGUUAGAAUUAAUAUUAAUUUUAGAUUUAAAUUAGACUUUUCAAUUUAUAACAAUCCCUGUGGGAUCGACCUCGUUACCACUACUCUAUUUCUAGAUUCAUGCACUUGCGAGUACAUUAAAAUUUUCACAAGUUUUUGGCGCCGUUGCCGGGGAUUGUGCUAGAAAGUCAGUUUAAUCUAGAUUGAUUUGAUUCUUCCACUAGUUAUAAUUUAGGUUGUCUUUUAUUUUUUUAAAUUAAAAAAACACAAAAAAAACCUUUAUUUGUCUUUAAAUUCAUUGUUUGAUUUCUUUUUAAAUUUCGUUUAUUCUCAUUAUUGUUGGUUUAUUUUAUUUUAUUUUUCUUUCUUUCCUUGUCUGGUUAGUUUAUGAGUGUUUGGGAACGUGAUUCAACAAAUCGUUUGGUUAAAAGAGAGUCGAAAAUUGAUAGUAGUCAAACUAAUUCUUUAGAAGUGAUGGAUGACCCAAAUAGAUUAUUGCCAGUACUACCACCAGUGCAAGCAGAGAAAACCCUUAGAGAAUGCUUUUCACCACUUGCAGCCAACCAACCAUCUUGUAUUGUGUUGCCACAAACUACAGCAACACACUUUGAACUUAAGCCCUCUGUCAUUCAACUUUUACCAUCUUUCCAUGGGUUAGAGAGAGAGGAUCCAUAUUUUCACAUUAAGGAAUUUCUUGACAUAUGCUCUACAUUCCGUUUUCAAAAUUUUAAUGAUGAGUCAAUUAGGCUUCGUAUGUUCCCUUUCUCAUUAAAAGACAAAGCAAAAGCUUGGUUGAAUUCACUUCCUGCUGGGUCUAUUAGUACAUGGGAUGAAUUGAGUAAUAAGUUUCUCACCAAGUUUUUCCCUAUGUCUAAAACAAAUGCCCUUAGGAGAGAGAUAAGUGAUUUUUAUCAAAGAGGGGGUGAGCAAUUUUACGAGUGUUGGGAAAGAUUCAAUGAUUUACUCCUCAAGUGUCCCCACCAUGGUUUUGAAAAAUGGAGACUUAUACAAUGCUUUUAUAAUGGUUUAACCAUGUCAAAUCGUCAUAUGGUAGAGUCUAUGAAUGGUAGGAGAUUUUUGAACUUACAUGAAGGGGCCGCAUGAGAUUUCUUUAAUUCACUUUCUGAAAAUUCUCAACAGUGGGAUUUUUCAAAUCAAAGGGAAAAAUCAUCUCAAGUUUCUAGAAAGGGGUUAUAUGAAGUUAAGGAUGAUUUAGAUAUGAAAUCCACUCUAGCUACACUUUAUAGGAAAGUAGAUGCCUUAGUUAUGAACCAAUCCAUGAAUCAUCAUCCUAGGGUAGCUAAUGAAGUUUGUGCUAUCUGUUUUAACUUGUCUCAUACAGCACAGAAUUGUCCAUCAUUACCAGUCUAUCCAGAUGCUUAUUCUAAGCAGGUACAUGCCUUAUAAUCAUAUGAGAAAACCCCCAAUAAUCCAUAUUCACCCACAUAUAAUCCUAAUUGGAGGAAUCACCCUAAUUUUUCUUGGAAACAAAAUCAACCUUUGUCAAACCAAGGAGGACAACAGUUUAACAUGCUCAAUCAACAAUUUGUCCCUCCUAACCAAGUAUAUCUUCCUGCCCAACAACCUAUGUCUCAAUUUGUUGCACCCCAAUAAAGAAAGCCUUCUUUAGAGGAUACACUUCAAAGUUUCAUUCAGUCAACCCAACAAGUUUUUCAGUCAAACACUCAAGCUAUUUUAAAGCUUGAACACCAAUUGGGUCAAUUAGCAACUACUGUAGCUGAGAGAGAAAAAGGAAAAUUUCCAAGUCAACCAAUUCCUAAUCCCAAAGGAGUGCACGAAGUUGGAUCGAGUUCAAGCCAUUAACAUGAAGAAGCAAAAUCUGUUAUGACCUUGAGAAGAGGAAAAUUAUUUGACAACAAAGUAGAGGUUCAAACAAGGAAGACAUCUGAGCCUACUUCUUCAAAUCCAGUUCCAUCACAAGACUCAUCACCAAAUGAUCCAGAAGAGAGUGGCCAGCCAACUUACAUUCCCAAGGCUCCUUUUCCUCAAAGGUUAACAAAGGUAAAGAAAGGGACUUCAACAGGUGAGAUUAUGGAAAUCUUCAAACAGGUAAGUAUAAACAUCCCUUUACUCGAUGCUAUUAAGCAAGUUCCUUCCUAUGCCAAGCUUUGGAAAGAUUUAUGCACUAAAAAGAGAAAUUUGCAUGUCACUAAAAAAGCGUUUUUAACUGAACAAACUAGCAACUUACUUCAAUGUAAAAUGCCACCAAAAUUUAAGGAUCCAGGUUCCCCUACUAUCUCAUGUGUUAUAGGGAACCAAUGUUUUGAUAAAGCAUUAUUGGAUUUAAGUGCUAGUGUUAAUCUCUUGCCUUAUUCUGUUUACAUGCAGCUUGGACUGGGUGAGUUAAAAUCAACUCCUAUUAUUUUACAACAUGCUGAUAGAUCAAUGAAAAUAUCUCGUGGUAUUAUAGAGGAUGUGUUGAUACAGAUUGAUAAAUUUUAUUAUCCUGUUGAUUUUAUUGUUAUUGAUACUCAACAUGUACAAGAUCCGAAGAAACACACCCUAGUUAUUCUUGGUCGUCCUUUCUUAACUACAGCUGAUGCUCAUAUUAGUUGCAGGGCUAGAAACAUGCAAUUGUCUUUUGGUAACAUGACCAUGGAAUUAAACAUUUUUAAUGUUCCCAAGCAGGCACAAGAAGAUGAUGAAGUAGUUGAAGUAGAUAUGAUAGAAGCAUCAAUUGAUGACUCACUUAUUUCUAACCACUGUGACAAUCCAUUAAUACCAUGCACAACUGACUCUGAUUUCUCUGUUGAUGUUGAUAGUGGUAUUGAAGAAGUUAAUGCUUUACUUGAUUUGACUCUUAUCAUAGAUCUAAUUAAGUGGAAAGAAAAGAUUGAGCCACUACCUCCUGAAGAGAAAAGUGAACCAUUCAAGUUAGAGCUACUUCCUAAAAAUGUGCAACAUAAGUCACAUUCUGACAUGAAAAAGGUGGUAAGAUCUAAAGUGCUUAAAUUAUUAGAUUUUUAUACUACUUCAGAUAACUCUCAGGAAAGCUUGGAAUAGAAGAGAUCAAGGCAGUGCAAUAUUGAGGAGUUUCAUUACCAUCAUCCUUUUAUAAAUAAAAUGCUCCAGUGCUUAGUCAAUUAUGUUUUCUGGCAUUUUCUAUAUAAUUGCUUUGGUUUUCACCAAAUUCUUAUUGAUCCUGGUUGAUUUGUUGUUUACAUUAAUUAGUUAGUUAGUAUGAUUUUUUAUUUUAUUAUUUAUAUUUCUUCUAACGUUUUCUUUUAGUUGUCAUUUUGUUUUAAGCUUUCCCAGCCCAUCCAGGUGUGUUCUUUCCAACUUUCUUUUUAUUAUUUAUGUUUUGUUAUUUUUUUUUUCUUCUCUCAUUUGCAUAUCUUUUGUUUGUGAAACAUUGAGGACAAUGUUCCGAAUAAGUUUAGGGGUGGGAAUAGUGGCUGCUUUGUGUGUUAAAAAAACAAAUUCAAAAAUUCCAAAAAAAAAUGGUGUUGUUUUUUUUUUGUUUUUAUGUGAAAAGCCAAUGAUAAGAAUUUGAUUGACAAUGAAUAUGGUUUUUAGAAAGGGUUGAAUAUUAUCUUAGUUUAUACUUGAUUCUUGUGUUAGUUCCUCUUGAUUGAGAUUCUUUAGACCAUGAGCACUAAUAUCAGUUCUUUCAUAAUUUUGACUUGAAAUUUGAGAUUAACGCAGCCUGAGUUGAGAAUUUUAGAUAGAGUAAAUGACUGUUUGUCUUGAUUCUUAUCUCCACAAUACAAAAUAGUAUACACGGGCACCAAAGUCAGAAAUAGCUACCUAUAACCCUUAAGAGUGAAGCUAUCCUUGAGUAAUUUGGGCCUAUGUACCACAAGUAUGUAGAGGAUAAUCUACCAUGAGAAGAAGGCUACCUUAAGGGGUAGAGUGAAAGCUCCUGACUAUGGUUGAGAAAAAAAAAAGAAAAAAAAUCAAAUCAAGUGCAUGUGCUGAAAAAAAAAUCAAAAGAAAAUGCACAUAAAAGCCUGUGAGAGAAAAAAAAAAUUGGAGAUCAAGAUGAUAAGAUUAGUUUGACCUACUCUGUUCUUUGUUUGAGGCGAAGGCUGUUGAUGUUGAGGAUUUUGGGAAUGGAUUUGAUUGAAUUGAUUUCACACACACACUACAAGAAUAGAAAGAGAGGUGGGAUUGACUAUUGAAUUAAAAUUAGAACUUUGCUAAUAUUUGAAAUUUUCUUUGAGCUAUAUAAUUUUUGCAAUCUUUGAGGCUAUUUUUCAUGUUUUAUUUAAAGUUUUUUUUUGUUCUUUUAAUUUAAUUUUUUUAAAUGAUGUUUAUGGGUAUCAUCACUGAAGCCCUCAUGAGACUACAACUCGUCCACUAGGGCCGCCUAGGGGUUUAAAGGUUUGUUGCAUACGCUAAAUGCAAUCGCGAUUACCUGCGAAAUUGGUUUAGUUAAGAUUUACUUUUUGUUUUGUUAUUUUUAUUUUUGUUUUAAGUUUUAGUUUUGCUCGAGGACUAGCAAAAUCUAAGUUUGGGGGUAUUUGAUGAGCAUAUAAUAUAUGCUUAUUUUACCCUUAAUUAAAUAAUUGUUAGUUAUAUUUAUUUGUUAUUUUUAAUUAAUUUAAUUGUUUUAUUGAAUAGGAAAUUAAUUGGAGAUUACGGAUAAAAAGGGCACAAAGGAGUUCAAUUUGUGAGCAUAAAAGAUUAAUUAACUUGGAAGCAAUUAUGCUUAUAUGCAUGUUAAUUCAAGCCAAGGAAACCGAACUCAACAAAUGCAUUCACCAUCCACGUGCAAACAAAGAAGAAGGUUAAAGCUAAAGUGGGCAGCACAUAAAAACAAAGCUUUUAAUUAAGCCUUUGAAUGGAAAGUCAAAGUAGAAUAAAGGAAGGAAAUCAAUAGCUUUUGGCUUUUAUUGUUUUCAAUUACGUGGCAAGCUUAGGGCUUUAGCUUAUAAAAGUUGGUUUAGUUAUUAGAAUCACAAUAGGAUUCGGUGGCCAAGCAAUAUAAAAGGGAGUUUUGCUUUUGAAUUAAAAGAGCGGUUGGACGGAAACAAAAGGGUGCAGACGCAAGGUUGGGAGAGAGUAUUCGGCAGCAGCAGCAAUUCAGCUUCCAUGGCUGAUUUUAUUUCUUGUGUUGCUCUCAAUUCAAGUAUGUCUAGCUAAUUUUCUUAUACUGAGGUUAAGGAUGAAACCCUAUUCAAUAAAAUAAUUAUCUUUUUAUUUAAUUAAUUCCCUAUAUAUGUUCUUUAAUGAUUAUGGUUUUUAUUUUACAUGAUUAAUUGGAUGUUAUUAAAAUCUUUUCAUCAAUUCUGUCAUGCAUUAUUGAUUGUUAGGAUUAAUAUUUGAUUAAAUCUAUGCUUGGAUCUAUAAAGUUUAUACAUGAUUGUCUUUGAUUUUAUGUCUUUUAUUAAAUUGUUUACAUAGAGUGCUUAGGGAAACUUUGACUCUUUGUUAUUCAAUAUGUUUACAUGGGAUGCUUAGAUAUCAUAUUAUAAGCAGAAAAAGAACCUACACAAGAUUAAUUUUAUUUGAGCUUAAUUGUUAUAUCCAUGAGAUGACAUAGAUUGAUUUCGAGUUGUCACUCUAAAAUUGGGGAUUAAUUAAUAAUUAAAUAAUUACUAGUUGAAUAGUGGUGGAUUCUGAAACCUUGGUAAUUUCUAUCCUAUUGAAUUCUCCUUUAUUUUAAUUGUUUUCUUAGUUUAAUUAGUUUAAUUUCUCUUAAAACUCAAUUUGGUCAACUAGGUUAGAAUUAAUAUUAAUUUUAGAUUUAAAUUAGACUUUUCAAUUUAUAACAAUCCCUGUGGGAUCGACCUCGUUACCACUACUCUAUUUCUAGAUUCGUGCGCUUGCGAGUACAUUAAAAUUUUCACAACAGAAUGGGGUAGGCAUCCCCACCCCCACCCCGCCCCAUUGACAUCCUUAGCUGAAACAUGUAUUCUCUCCAAAUUAAUUAGCAAGAAUUCAAUAUUAUUUGCAUUGAAUGGACAUGUGUUGCACAUUUUUGUUGAUUGUCUUGAUGUAUGUUGCUUUGGAUAAGAUAUCCGCGAAGUCUGUGGUAUAGAUAUUUUUUUUGAGAUUAAGAAUCGGUGAAGGCUUUUUCUUUUUUCUUUUUAAAUCAGAGCGGUAAAGAUUUGAAUAGGGCCGUGUGUCACUAAUAUUACUGCUUUAUAGGGCCCUAUUUUUGGUUUGCCUUUGUUUCAAUGGAUACUUAAUAAUACUUCCUGAUCAUGUUCAUUGUUGUGAUUUUAUGGCAACGUAUUUGUCUUUGUUACGCUGCUGAAGAGAAGAAACUCUUGAGAAUUUCAAUUUAAUAUUAGUGGAUUCCCGGACAAUUGUAGAAUUGUCAUACGGAAAUAAACCUACAUUCUUGUUCCUUUUGUUUUUAGGACUUAAUUGGAUAACAUCCUUUGGACACCGUCCAUAUUUGGCUUUGUCUACGCUAAUUCCACCGCCGGUUUUAACUCCCCAGAGUGCUGACACAAGAUAAUACCUCUCGCUGGAGUCCACCUCGUUGCCAUAGACAUCUAAGAUAGGUUCAGAUUCUGAGGUGCGCAACUGAGGUUUUGUGGCCAAAGCAAGUAUAAGGAAGGAGAAUGUGGUUACCGUUGAAGCCUUCACCUUUUUUUUUUUUUUUUUUUUUGCUGUUUGUUUUGUUGAUCAAUUCGGUAUUCAAGUGUUUAAAUUUAUAGAGAGCUAGGGUUAAUAUGUGAUAAGGACUUUGUGGUAGCUGCUUGAAUGGUCAUGUAUUAUUGAGUCUUACUUUUUUCCACUUUAAGUUUAGUAAAUUUGUUAAUUUUUUGUUAUAUGGAAAUGUAGUAUGGGCGACACAUACAUAAGUUUGGUUCUCAUAUUAUAGAAGUUUAUGAGCCUAACUCUUACUUAAAAGCUAUUUUGAGAGAAAGCUGCGCCUCAAUGAUUUUAAAAAUAUCUAUAAAAAGAAGAUAUAUUUUACUUUUAUUGAUUCAUAAGUGCAAAAUGCUCAACUUAUAAAAGAUUCAAAACACAACAAAGGAAAUGAUAAAAUUUGGGAUUGAUUUGUAUUGAUUGACAAUCAAUCAUGCAAUUGUUUGCCAGAGAUAUGGUUUAUCUUUUCAUUGAUUCUUUUCAUUUUCCCUCAAGUUGGUGAGGAAAUUUGUAAACUGGGCUUGACUUAAGAUAUUGAAAACCAUUUUUGGUCUAUACUUUCUAGUCUCACGGAAUAAAUUUAUGAAGUCAUUCCUUAAACCUUACGUAUAGAGGUGGCCAACGGGUUGUGCCGUGUCGGUCCAGGCCCAUCAAAGGAAAGUAAACGCAUGCUCGUGCUCGUGCCGUGUCGUGCCCACUAUAUGUUUCGUGCCGUGCCGUGCCGUGUCUAAUUUUUUUUGUUUAGGCCCAGCCCGGCACACAUGCCAUGCCUAGAAAAAAAAGUCCACUAAGUUUUUUUUUUAUUUUUUUAUUUUUUUAAGAGUGCAUGCCAAGUUGUUGUCUUAUUUUUUUCAAGUCUUUGUACUUUUUUGAAUCUAUGUGCCUUUAUUCAAUUUUAAUAGAAUAAAAAAUUCAAAACUCAAGUGAAUAUUCAAUAAUAAUAAAUUAAUAAUAAUAAGAGAAUGUAAUAUUAGUUACUAAGUUUGACUCUAUGGUAUUAGAAUUCUUUUUUAGUACUUAACAACAACAAGAAUAAUAAUUUUUUUAAGGGUUAACUUAUUUGUUAACUUGGAAUUACGUAGAGUCAUAUAUCAUAGUUUAUAAUAAUAUUAAUACAUAUUUAUAAAAUCAUGAUAUUUAUAAUUUUAUUUAUUAAAAUCCGGAUAUCAACUAUUAUUUAAUAAAUUAUAAACAUAAAUCAACUAUAAUUUUUUUGAACUAAGAUUUAAAUAAAUUUAAAAAACUUGAGCUAAUGAAAUAUAAUAAAAGAUUCAAUUUCAAGUUAUUUAUAAAAUCAUAAAAUUAUAAGUUUACUUUCAUUAAAAAAAUAAAAUGUGCUUAUUGCGUGCUUUUUCGUUUGUCGUGUUUUGGUCCAUCUCUAAUCGUGCUGUGCUUUUAAGGUUCACGUGCCUAAAAUUCUAAGCCCAGCCCAGCUCAUAUGCGUGCCGUGCCGUGCUGUACCACGUGCUCUACCAAAACGUGCUCGUGCCGUGCAAUACUGUACGGACAUGUGUUGUGCCUCGUUUCAUCUGGUUCAUUGGUCACCUCUACUUACGUACCACUUACCUUUACUAUUUUCAUAGUAUCCAAUAACCACUUUUGCACCAAAAUUUUGAAAGGAAAAGAAAAGCAAAUGGAUUAUUUAUUUUAUAUUUAAUCUUGGGUAUAAAAAAAUGUAUAUUUGUUAUAAGAUUUUUUUUUAAAUAACGAAAAUACAAAAAAUGCUCAGUAUUAAUUUUUUAUUAAAAAAGAAAUGUGAAUUUAUUAUUUUUAGUAUAUAUAUUUUUUAAUUUCAAUUUAUAUGAUUUAUUUAAUUUAUAAUAAAUAUGGAUAAAACUAUAUAUAAAACUAAGAGUAGUUCUGUAAUUACGGUGCCAACAAGGUUAUUGGGUAUUAUCAAAAUAAUAGGAGAUAAAUGAUAUAUAUUGAUUUUUUUUUUUAUAUAAUGGUAUAUAUUGAGUUUAAUAGAAGAAAAAAUGGCAACUUCCCGACUUUAAUUGUAGGGUAGCGUACAAUGAACGGAUGAACGACUAUAGCACAAUUAGCGAUUGUCGUAGGGCCAUUAGGGAUGGCAAUGGAUUGAAUCUGAACCAAGAUCCACGUGAUCCAAAUCCAAUCAGAUCGGAUUUGGGUCAGAUUAAAAUGAAUUUGGAUCGGAUUUGGAUAUCAAUGCAUGGAUCUAAGGUGGAUAUGGAGCAAGUUCGGUUUAUCUUAAUAUCUAGAUCCAGAUCCAUAUCACUCACCAUUUAAUGUAAUUUUAUUUUAAUUUUUUUUAACAAUUAUGUAAUUAUAAACGAUAAAAAAAUUUAUUCAUUAGCAUGUAUUCAAGAAUCUUAAAAUUUAAGGUAUUUAAAUGAUAAUAAGACAAAAAAUUAUCAAGUGUAAAAUAAAAUUAGGGUAGCAUGUCCUAAUUUUUUUAAGUUUUUCACUCUAUAAUUUAGUAUUUUUUUCUCUUUAGUCUACUCUCGCUUCUCCACUUCAAUUGAAUGCUUGGAUCAGUCUUUUAAUUGCUAGGAAAAUCUAUAGACUUGGGUUUUUUUUCCUAUCAUUUUCUCAUAAUCUUAUUUAUUUUGUAUAAUCACUAAUUAGUUGUGGCUAUCAACUAUAAAAUAAUUAUGUUAAUCAUAUAUUUAGUUAAAUAUGAUCAUAAUAAAAAUAAUAAAUCACUGAAUAUAAUAUAUCAUUUUUAAAUUAUAUGAUAUUAUUUAAUGAUAUAGGAAUGAUGAUGGUGUGCCGUGGAUAUCAGGAUAUUAAAAGAGACAUUAGAAUAUUAUAAUGACCUUAUUCCUGCAAUUACUUUUGAUGGAUAUUUUAUUAUCUUUCUUAUUUGUUUAUUUUGGUGUAAAAGUAGAAGCUACAAUACUUAUCAUAUUUUUUAUACAAAUUAUAGAAUUUAAUUGUUACCAAUGCAUUUUAGUCUUAAAUUUUCUUUCUAAAAAAUUAUUGAUAUCUUAUUAUUGAGAUUUACAAUUCGUGACGGAUCUAGAGCAGAUUUGGAUUUUAAUUUUUUUUUUUGGAUUUGGAGCAAAUAUAGAUCCAAAUUUUUUGUUUCGGAUCUAGAUAUGGAGCAAAAAAUAUAGAUCCAUGACGGAUCUGAAGCAGCUACGGAUCAUAAUUUUCAUUAUGGAUGUGGAUCUGAAUUAAGCAAAGUAGAUCCAAUUCAUAUCUACUCCAUUGCCAUCCCUAGGGGCCAUGCAGGGAUUGUUUGUGCGGAUCACAAAGUAAAUACCGUAGAUGAGAUAACAAAUCAUUUGGCAUCCAUAAACAUUUGACUCAAUAUGUGGUUAAUUAAUUACAGUUUCUUUUCUCUUUUAGUUAAGAGUCCUUGUGAUAAUUAGUUUAAUCAUAUAUUGAUAAGAAAAGUAAAUGUAUAAGGAGGACUGCUCUAGAAUACUCAGAGAUUUUUUCAUGAUUUGUAGAAGAAAUUCAAAUACCAUCGGUUUUUAAAAUACAUCACUUAAGUGCUUUAAAAUUUAAAUUUAUUUCAUUCAAAUAAAUUUCAUAAUAAAAAAAUAGGUGGGACUAUUUCAAUCCACAAAUUUUUUCUCUACACUCUCUUUUUAGUUAAGAAUUUUAUUAUCUAAGUAAUUUUUGAAAAACUUACGUAAUUAACUAUUUUUUCUCCUUCUCUUAUAAAUUUGACAAAUUCUCAUCAAUUCAUUUAUAUAUUUUUUUUUAACUUACAAAUAAUUGGUAUCAAUAACUAAGAGAAACAAAAUCCACUACUUAAAAAUGAACACCAACAAAUUUUAUCAAUUAUAAAAAUUAAUGAAUAUUAAGUAAUUAAUUUUGUUGAUUAAUAUCAUAUUGAUUAGGAUUUGUCUAUUCAAAAUCGAAUGUAUUCCAAUUAUCAUAAGCCAGAGGGUCCAUUAAAUAAAUAACUAUUUAUGAGAAUAAUCUUUCAAUCUACAUUGAUCAGACUUUGGCAUGACGACAAUUCGCCAAAAUUAAGGGAUGCUGCCAAAUCUCACAUGAUCAUGUUGUCGUGUUUUUGCUUUGUCUGCAGAAUAGGACUGAAUGAUAAGGCACCGACAGAUUCUAUGUUACGGAUUUUAAAGGCAUUCCAUCUGGCGUUUCUUAACACAAUCGUUUGCGUAUGAGAGCGACAUUAUGAUGGCCCCCACUCUAAACAUAUACACCAAUAAUUUCACGUAUGAAUGUAUGAAAUCAUAUAGCGUUUUAUUUUAUUUUAUUUAAGCUGCCUGUGCCUUAUUUUCUUCUUAGCACUGCUGUUUGAAUAGCCACUUGUCAGGGCGAAAGAAAAUAAUAUUAGUGCCUACACUCUAGCAAUUUACAGUGACACUAUAACACACCAAAACCACGCAUUGUUCAUGAAAAGAAUUCUCGUUUUCGUCGGCCAGCUUGCGUAAAAAGUAAAUAUGAGAAUUAAUUGAGAUACUAUAUUCAAACAGAAUUUUACAUUAUAUAUAAAAGUUGUAUCAUGCUCUAAAGGAAUGAAAAUAUAUCUCUUAAUUACAAAGAUAUUUAAACAAUUAAAGGCCGCAUCGUUGACUUAAUCAUGUGCAUGAUAUUCUAAUUAGAGCCAUUGGGAUGCAUCAGGUCUAUUGUUUGAGUUAUGUUCAAGCUCAAACUCUCUAUUUGUAUAAUCUCCAAUAUCUGGAAUUCCCCUUAAAACUGAUUUGGGAAGGAAGAAUUUGUUGACUUGUCAGCUUGAUGCCAUUUUAAUUUUCUUUCUACAUACUUACAUUGUAACACAUUUUCCAGUAAAAUGAUAAAAAAAAAAAAAAACAAGAUACGGGUAAAGUUAAAGAAGUCAAAGGUAGGGGAGGGCAAGCUAGGUGUGGGCAGAAAAAUCAGGGAACCAAAUGAAUCAAACCGAAUUGGCUGUUCGGAUCUGUUUGAAAAUCAGGAAAAAAAUAUCCAUUAGUUUAGUUAAUUAAAUAAAAAACUGACCUAAAAACUGAAUAACAAGUAAAAAUCAAGAUUUUAAAAGUUAAAAAAUGAAGAGAAAAGGGAACCGAAUCCGAAAUCGUAUGCAUUUCAGUUUGGUUUAGUUAGGAUCAGAAUUUUCAUCAAAUUUAUUCAGUUCAGCUCAGUUCGCCCAAAAAAAAAAAAAAAAAAAUCUGAAUCGAACUAUACCCACAAAAGGAAUAGCUCAAGGGAGACAAAUUUGGAAUAACUAAUUACAUAGCCACAUAGAUUUGUAGAAAUAAUCUUGUACAAACUGAAUUAGCAGCUUCAAUAAUAAUGUUAUAUUCACUUAGUAAUGAUAUUUAAUUGUGAUACUCAUUAAUGUGUCACUAAUAAAUUAUUUCCGUAUAUAUGGUAUCCACUAAUUUUAUUUUUAGUUUUGAAUAUAUGAUUUUUUACUACCUAAUUAAUAGAUGACAUAUAAAAUGCCACAUCACUGAAUAUUUCAUCAGAAUAAACAAGAUACUAAUCUUCGAUGAAUAAUCCUCAAAACAUCCACUUGCCAAAAACAUAAUUCAAUUGCAUGAGUGUCUGAGGUUAAUUGUAGAUUAGGUGAUAACCAAGAUUGAUCGACUUUAGUUCAAUUGGCGAAUUUCGCGGGAGCAAGCGGGGUUGUUGGCGCAGAUCUGAAACUAAAAACCGUAGAUAAGCUACCUAUUGACUUUUGACUCAAUAUGUAAUUAAUUAAUUAGCAAGAAAUCCCUUAGAUAAUGAUAUAAAUUAUGUCAACUAUAGAGUUGUAUCAGACAAGCACAGAGUUGAAUUAGAUAAAGAACAAUUUGUUUGUUUCGUGCAAUUCCAUGAGUGAAAUAACUUACAAUUAAGUAAGGAUCGUGGUCCAAUUGAUAUAUGGUAAAAUUUUUAGUUGAUUCCUUGUUGUUUGAAGAAAGAAACUCAAAGAUCAACGACUUUUAGAAUGUACAACUUCAGUCCUUCAAAUUUUGAAUCUAUUUCAUUCAAGUCCUUCAGUAAUGAAUUUCACCAUUAAAAAAUUGUAAAAACGUUACCAUAAAUAUAGAGUGAUAAUUAUUCCCCCAUACCUCAUAUCAGUGAUUUUAAAGUCCAUUCUACCCUUGCUAAAUAAUUAUUUUUUUUCUUUUUCACCAUGUUAAAAAUCUUAACAGUUUGCUAAAUAAUUACAAUAGAUUUAUAGCCACAAACCUUGAAAUUUUAUCCUAUACUUUUCAUAUGCGAAUUCAACGCAAUAUUCAUGAUAUUUUUAGUUCGUUGGUAGGUUGCCCAGGAAGCCAGUCAAUUAAAUUAAUUAAUUAAAGGACCCUAUCUACUGUUUAGUCUAUUAUACGUGUUAAAAAUCCCAGACCUGAGGAAUCAUCCAUUAUUGAUGAAACCUAAUACUAGCAACGGGAAAAACAUGAUAAAAAGCUGCUGGAAUCUGCACCACAAAAAAAAAAAAAAUGUCUUUUUCAUUUUUUUUCUGGAGAAGAUGAAUGACGGGAGUCCCAACUCACAAGGGAUAGCAAUAGUUUGUCAUCAUGCCAAUCGCGAUUCAAUAUCAAUCGUCUAAAAUAAUAGACGAUAGCAAUAGUUUGUCAUCUGCACCACAAAAAAAAAAAAAAGUCUUUAUCAUUUUUUUCUGGAGAAGAUGAAUGACGCGGGUCCCAACUCACAAGGGAAGGGAUAGCAAUAGUUUGUCAUCAUGCCAAUCGCGAUUAAAUAUCAAUCGUCUAAAAUAAUAGUGUGGCAAUUUACAUUCUUUGGAUAAUUUUCAUUCUAGUGAAAUUUUAUUUUAUUUAAAAUAACCCUAAUGUUAUCGUUUUAACAAGAUUUUGUCUCUGUUGUUCGCAUUUUUGUAAUGCAUGUUUAUCUUUUUAGACAACAUUUUGUUUAGGUUAGUUAGAUGACUAUUUUAACUUCAUGUUUUUAAUUUGCUUUAGAGUAAGACUCAUUACAUCAUUCUAUUUAAGUGUUAUUAUUAUUCUUCUUUUUAAUAAAUCUCGCUAAUAUCGUCAAAGAUUCGUCUAAAAAAAAACUCUAAUUAAAAAAAAAAAUGAUAGUAUUAGGGAUAUUAAUAUAAUUUAAGAAAAUAUGAAUGCUCUUAAAACCCAUCCGGCAUAUACGGGUAGAAGAAUUAUUGUCAAAACUUUUCUGCUUCAUUAUCCAAUUUAACCAUUGUAAAGCAAAAUACUUAUAUAGUUGCCAACAACAUAAGCUGGAAGUCAUCAAGCCACACACAUUUUACAGCAAUGCAACUGAAAGGAUAAAAUGGACAGAUUUGAAUAAAAGAUUAACAAAUUGCACCAUUUGUACCUAAAGACAUUAAAUGACAAAUUGUUCUCGGAAAUUAGUAAAUAGAAAAUGAAUAUAUUUUAUAGAAAUAUUUUUGGAAUAUAAUUUUAAUUCUCAUUCAUAUUUUUUCUCUUUCAAAUAAAAUUUCUUUCGAUUUUCAUUUUCUUUUGUGUGUGAUUAAACUUUGGUUCUUAAGUUUAUUAAACAAUCUUCGACUAGGCUUAGGUCUUGAGGGAAUGGUUUGGGAUUUAUACACCUAAUCAGUCUCAACAAAUAUCGAAGAGGAGUAAAAAAGGAUCAAGCCAUAACAAAAGGGAAAGAAAGAAAAAAGCUAAUAAAAAAAAAGUAAGAAAAAUCUUGGGCAUUAUGACUUUGAGAAUGAUGAAAUAUUUUAUGGAUAUAAAAAUAAAAACAAUUACUUAAAUCGUAUAUGGGUAUUGUUUUGGCAUUUAAAAGGGUGUGAAGAGUAAAAUUUAUUAUUAUUUUAAAAUUUAUUAAAGGGGAUGGAUCAAGGAUCCUUAAAAUUAAAGAGAAAAAACCUUAAUUUCGUUUGAUGAUUCUGGUCCUUUAAAAAUUGUGUAAGAGAAGUUUAUGCAAGUUUAAAGCAACUUUAACAUAGUUGAGGGAAAUAAAGAGAUGGGAAAAGAAAGAAUUAGGAGGAGAGAUGAUAGAGAAAAGAAAAAAAAAAAAGUAAAGAUGACCAUGAAGAUCGUUGGAGGAGAAAGAAGAUGAUUGAAAAAAAAAACGAAUGAAAUAUUUAGUACAUCUCAUUAAAUCCUCAACUGUAUUCAUUUAUCUGUAAUCUAAAGGAGCACAAAACAGUGCAAUUUCAAGGGAAAUUUGAAUUUUUCCCUUUAUUGAAUGAUGUGAAGAGUAAAAGAAUGUUAAACUAUAUUUUAGAGCAUAAAUAACUCUAUCAUGUAAAAAUUUGUUUAAUUGUUGAUUGCAGAUACUUUUUCAUCUUAAGUUGUAUUUUUCUUGAUAUAUCUCAGAACAAGGAAGAACUUUGUUAAAACUUGACCCUUCCUAGCUUUGAUGCUCUAUGUCAUUUUUUAUGUUAAUAUAUAUAUAUAGAGAGAGAGAGAGAGAGAGAGAGAAAUGUUCCAGUCAUGAAUUUUAAAGUACAGGAACUGCGGGAAACCUUUAAAAUCGCAUGAUUUUAAAGGUUUAAAACUGUAAACCUUUAAAACCGUGUGGUUUUAAAGCUUUCUCUGACUUUUCCGUACUUUAAAAUCCCUGACCAGAAUAUAUAUAUAUAUAUAUAUAUAUAUCUGUGUGUGUGUGUGUGUGUGUGUUAUAUAUGCUACAGUUUAACAUACAAAUUUUGUUACUUUAAAUUGUAACUAUGUCAAUCUUUUCUUUAAUGGCAAAUUGUAUGUUAAAAAGGUCAAAUUCAUCCGUGUACCUUUUCUAUCAAUGUUUUAAUGACGACAGUGAAAUUGGGUCAACAAAGUUAGUACCAGGGACAAAGAUUUUUAAUUCUCUCCGUGAGUUUUAUGGGUAAAACAUUCUAACAAACAAUUUUUAUGGCGUCGUCUUUCUCAAUAAAGCGGACCAAAGCAUGCCGAUAAAGCAAAGAAGAUCAUGAUUGGAUUGAAAGAUUCCAAAAUCAUAUUAGUUCCAAUAGCACCUAUUCGAAGAUAGCCCAAAUACUGAUUUUAAACAUCAUUGUUUCAAUGGAAAAUGCUAACUGUUGAGGGUUUUAUCACAAUAUAAAACAUUGACAAAGCACUGAUAAUACGUAUGCAUGGAGACUUAAAAGAUGUAUACAUAACAUGAGUAGAGAUUAACAACAGCAAAAGGAUCACAGGCGGUGUUAUUUUUAUUCUGUAAUAGAGAUAAAAGGUUACUAGCCUGGUCUAUUAUUUAGAAUGAUACAGCUAGUUCAUUCAUUACGCGGUCAUUGAUAUUGCUUCAGCAGCUUCAAAAAACCUUGAUAUUGCGUUAGCAGCUUGAAGUAGCCUUGAUCUUUCCUCUGAUGGAAAAAACAGAACAUUCAAAGCUGGUUCAUCAUCACCAACUAGAGCCAGACGUCGAACGCCAUCCUUAGAAGAAACGCCAAUUUUGUUGCAGCGUCUAGGACAAGAAAGACAGACACUCGGACAAUGGACAAUAUUGUAUACACCACCAUAUGAAAAAUUUCCAGCUUUCUCAAUCUUAAACCAAUUUAGCAACGUUUCAGCUCCUGGGUGGCCCUCAAUUCCGCCGGUUACAAUUAAUGGAUCGUCAUAGCUAUCAACUUUCCACAAUGGUUCUUCAUUACAGGGCUUAACAGAAACUUUUACGGGGAAUCUCAGGUUGACAUCAGUGGAUACCUUGACAAUUUUGUAAUUGUCGUACGGAAGUAAUCUUAAAUUAUCUCCCCUUUCGCUAGGAGAACUUAAUUGGAUAACGUCCAAGGGACACUGUCCAUUUGUGCCUAGGUGUGUGCUGAAUCCACCGGCGCCAUCUAGGACUGGGAUAAGUUUAUACUCGAGGGUGGAUUUGACCUUGUUGCCAAUGAUAUCUAAGACAGGUUCAGAGUUUGAUGAGAUGCCCAAUAGAGGCUGCGUGGCCAAGGUAAGGAUAAGGAAGGAGA